rnacentral:lncRNA from 1 species
ACACUUCAGUUUCCGCCUUCUGCUCACGGACUGCAGAGACAAGACGUUCUUCAAGACAAUGCUGUUCAUCUUUGUAAGUAGAAUAGUUUAAUGAAAUGUCAGCUCUUGUGUGCUUUUCAUUUUGCAUUUUUGACUUGUGUUAUAUUCCCUUAUAAGUCCCAGAGAAAGGAGAGAGGAGCAGAGAUGAGUUUAACUGCAGCAGUGAGUGGAUUCAUCCUUCUCCUCUCUGUAUCAGGUACUUCAUUUCUACAGCUUUUCCUCUUCACUCUGAGAAACCUGCAGCCUCUUUUUAAUUUGAUCAAAAACAGACUCUGUUUGCAGAACCUGCAGUUUUUUCUCCAAAAUUCAGAUUGUAAUUUGCUGUAUUGAAAUCAGUUUUUGAAUUUUUGUGGAUACUAGUUUUGCAGUCAGGCUAGUGUCUCAGGGACUCAUUUAUCACAACACAUCUGCAACAAGCCUGUGUGUUCCUCUUCAUAGGUGUUAUAUUUCCAUGCUGAUGCUGCAUUGACAGCACUUAUCUAAUCAUUGAGUAUUAGCUGCUGUACAGUUUCUCACCCCUUAGACUUCUGCAUUUAUUUUUAGAUACACACUUGACUGGGCAGCUAACUUUGCACAGAGAAAACUUUCACAGAACAGCACAAUCUGUCAAAUAAUUUACACUGUUAAUAAUGCUGUUGGGUUAGAGAAGUGUUCAUGAAUAUAAACAUCUGUAAUUUUUCAGUAUGGAUAAAUCUUCUCUCAGAUAUUUUGAUAAGUAGUUUAAAAUCUAAUAUCAAACAGAGAAAAAAGCUAAACCUGACAAAAAUAUCUUACAUGUGAUUGUUAUAUCAAGAUGAUGUCGGACUGCACCUCAAUGAUCUGGUUCAGAUUUAUUUAUUUCAUGUUCAGUCUUAAACUUUUCCUGGUCUGGUUAAAUUGACUGUGUUCUCUGAUUUUUGUGUUUUAGUGGCUCAGCCUCAGAACGGCUGGGAGGUGACAUACUCUAAAACUCAGAUCUGUGUCUCCAGAGGAUCAACUGUGGAAAUAAGCUGCAACUUUAAGUACCCAAAAACAAUGGAGAGGAAGCAGAACAAACUCUUAAAAACAUUUUGGUUUAUCAGGAGACGUGGUGAUGAGCUUCUAAACAUUGAAACAGACUCAGAGUAUUCAGGUCGUGUGAAGACCACGCAUGAUGGGACCAGAUCCACCCUAACAAUCACAAACCUGACAGGGAGUGACUCAGCUGAAUACAUGUUCAGGAUGGAGACAAGCCUGGACAAAUAUUCUGGCUACCCAGGUGUCACCCUGUCUGUGAGAGGUAGUUUUCUGUGAAAUGUCUCAUCCUUUACCUUUUUGAAAAUCGUGUAAAUGAUUAUAUUAUGUGUAUGUUUAUGUGGAAAGUACUGACAGUUUUAUCUGAUCAGAUGUCCAGAUAAGGGUGAACAGAUCACGUGGGCAUUUGCAGUUGAAGUGUCUCAGCCGUUGUCGUCAAGAUUUUCGAUACAUUUGGUUCAUGAAUGGAGAAAAAAUUAAGAACCAAAAUUCAAAAUAUCAUCAACCAGACCAGACUCUGAACACAGACAGAUUUUCCUGUGCUGUAGAAGGAUAUGAGGACUUCCCCUCUCCUUCAGUGUGUGAGUUUACCCCUCCCUUUCCUCUAACACAACACUAUCUGAUGGAGGUUUUAAAAUUUGGUGCGUGCCCUGACUCUCUGGUCUGUGGCUAACAUUUCCACUUUAAAAAACAUCUCAUAUCUGUGAUGCUCAGAGUAAAAACUCAAUAGUAAAGAGUUGUUAAAGGACAGAGAGCAUAAACCAAGUACAUCAGUGACUGAAAUGUUAACUGUAAAAUGUGUUUCUUCUUCAGAUGCUUUCGAGCCUCCCUCUGUGUCAGUGAGUUCCUCUGCUGAGAUAAUGGAGGGAAAAAAUGUGACUCUGACCUGCAGCAGUGAUGCUAAUGUAGAAUCCAGUUAUACCUGGUAUCAAAGAAAUGAACCUCUAUAUCCUCUGCGUCUCAGGAGAGGACCUCAGCUUGUCUUCAGCUCCAUCAAGUCCUCAGACUUUGGACAGUAUUACUGUGAAGUGAGGAACACCUUUGGGACACAGAUAUCGGGGAACAUCUUGGCUGGUUUGACAUGUGUGUGAAACAUCACAGUUCAAACACAUUAGAAAGACAAUAAACUACACAACAAUACCUCAAAACAGUUUUAUCCUGUAUUUGAACAAAAAGCACUAAGACAAAAUUUCUUCUUUUAUAUGUUUAUUUGCAAGUUUAAUUUACCAACUUUGAUUAAAUCCAUUUCCAGAUGAUCCAAAACGUCCCUCUGUGUCAGUGAGUCCCUCUGCUGAGAUAGUGGAGGGUAAACAUGUGACUCUGACCUGCAGCAGUGAUGUUAAGCCAGAUGCUACUUAUACCUGGUACAGAAGAAGUGGACGUCUAAGUCUGAGUCUCAGAAAAGGAAAUCAGCUUGUCUUCAGCUCCAUCCAGUCCUCAGACUCUGGACAGUAUUACUGUAAAGUGAGGGGCAUCACCAGGUCCUCUAGGGACGUCUUAGUUUAUGUGAAAUGUGAGUAAAAAGUCACAUUUAAGGAUCAACAUAAGGAUGAAAACCAUACACAACCAUAUCCCAGAACAUUUUUUUAUUCUGUUUCUUUGUCAUUUCUGUUUUUAUCCGUCUUCAGAUGCUCCAAAGUUCUCUUACGUGUCUGUGAGUCCCUCUUCUGAGAUAGUGGAGGGCAGUUCAGUGACUCUGACCUGUAUCAGUUAUGCCAACCCAGCACCACGUUCCACCUGGUACAAGGAGAACAACACCACGUUUCAGUCAACAGGAGGAAUUUAUACUUUUCUCAACAUCAGCCAUCUGGACAGAGGGAGAUACAACUGCAGAUCUGAGAAUCAAUAUGGAUCACAUGUAUCUCCCCCUCUCUCACUAGAUAUCCAGUGUGAGUAGAAGACAUUACAAAGUUAGAUCACCUGGUACAAAACUCUUCUUAAUGGCUUAAGUCUCCAUGUAAAGUUUUCUUUCGAUCUCCUCCAGAUGCUCCAAAACGUCCCUCUGUGUCAGUGAGUCCCUCUGCUGAGAUAGUGGAGGGUAGUUCAGUAAAUCUGAUCUGCAGCAGUGAUGCUAACCCUGCAGCUACUUAUACCUGGUACAAAGAGAAUGAAGACUCAGCAAACGCUUCAGGACAGACCUUCACCAUCACUGAGUUCAGAGCUAAUCACAGUGGGAAUUAUUACUGUGAAGCCCGGAACAAAAUAGGACACCAGAAAUCCAGCCCACAUCAGAUUGUUGCAGCAGGUGAGAUGUUUACACACCUGCACACAGAGAGCUUACCCAGAAUACUCAAAGCAGCUCAUGAUAUGUUUGAUUAAUUAAUUAAUUUUUUCCUUCACAAACAUGUUUUCUCUGAAUCAGAUCUUAAAACUGACUAAAGUGAAUAAUUCAUGGAGGGACCUCCAUGUCAGAUUCUGGCUCAACAGAGUCUCAGACAGAGCUAAAGAUAUAGACCAGUCUGAUUCUGUUAGUAAUGUGUCUCACAUAUCUCUCUUCUUUCAUUCAAGGGAAAUCAACAAUAACAACCAUAAUUAGCAUCAGGUUGACCCUGUUCUUUUUGAUGUUGAUUCCUCCACCUCUUGUGAGUCUGUUGACAAGGUAAAACCAUAAAACUCCAUCAAUUCAAACACAUUUCUUUUAUGAGCUUCUUCACUUGGUUCAUAGUUUAAUUUCUUUUCUCUCUAUUAUUGUAAAACUAACUUUUCUCAAAUGUAAUAAUCCAGGAAGAAGAAACCUCUGAACUCCAACACUGAACCAAGUGAACCUGCAGAGAUGAUAGAGGUGAGACCGACUGCUGACAAAACAUCUUUACAGACCUGUUCAAAGAUGUCAGGAUCAAAGUUUCAAAAUGGGACUAAAAUACUUUCAAAGAUGAUCAACUCUCUUCAUCUGUCCUCAGCUGGACUCUGCUCAUGAGAAUGAGAAAGUCUCAGCGGUCACUGCAGCACAGACUGAAGACAUAGAGGAGCAGGAAGACAGGGUGUGAAAUCCAGUCAGGGUGGGGUGUCUCCAGUGGUGCUGAUGGUGUACUGGUCCCAUAACUAGACUGGAGUCUCCUGUUGAGCGGUUGCUGGUUCAACUCCCGCCCAUGAUCCUUUGCUGCACAUGUUCUCUCAGUCAAAAAUAAGACGUUUCAAACUCUUACUUUUGUCAUGUUGGUUAAGUUUCCUUUAUUUUUGCACAUUCAUGUUUUGUUUCAUGUCAUGUAUUUCCUGUUUUAUUUUGUAGUUCACCAACUCUUGUUUCUGUCUUCUAGCUUUGUUCCUGUCUGGUCUGCCCUCGUUUUGUCACACCUGCUGCCUGAUUGUGUUUCCCCACCUGUUCCCCAUCACCCUCACUACCUCUUGUAUUUAAUCUCAUGCAUCUCACUGUCUCGUCACCAGUUCGUUGCACUUUAUAGUCACGUUCCAGCAUUAUGCAUAGUUUUAGUCAAGUCAUGUAUUACCUUUGCCUGCUUUAUUUCUGACCUUGCCUUUUUACAAUAAAUCCUUGUCUUUUGGACCAACUGAUCUGGUGUUGUGCAAUUGUGUUCUCUCCUCUGUGUCUUGGUUUAUAACAGUUUCUACAGAGAGUCUGACCUCCUCCACAGAGAUAACAGACCAACUUCAGAUUCAUUCUCACUGUCUUAAUCUUUUUUUUUUGAUUGUACGCAGAUGCAGUGUGUUUCACCUUCCAGGUAGCUAAAAAAAAGUCCUGUCAACAAGACUUUGGCAGAUCUGUUGGUCCAGCCCCUCUAAUAUUUCACUGUCCAAAAUGAUGGGCCAACUCAUCUCCUGUGUGGCAUAUUUAUUCUUACAGGAACUGCAAAAACAUAAAAACAGUCAUUAAUAGGAGCGCACUCUGUUCUGUGUCUUUACGCUUCAUCCUCACACACUGACUGGACUUCUCUGUUUUAUGAUAAACACUCUACACUUGCACUGUAAAACAACUCUUAAAGCAACACAAUACUACAGUGGUGUUGAAAUAAAAUCCAUGACAUUACUGUCUCAAUAUUUACACUAUUUUAACCAUUACAUCUCCUUUAUGAACUGUAUAACUGAUCUUUAGUUAAGUAAAUCUAUUUCAAACUAAUGUCUUUUAAUGUAUUAACACUGCACUGUCCCUUAAUACACUGAACAUAAAGUGUUUUACUUUCCCUCUUCCCACAAUGAAAACACACAGUGUGGCUUUAACCUAAAAUACAAGCGUGCACAAUACAGACUCUCAUCACGGUCUACUAACUGGACCAUAGCAUGGCACCACAGCCGCACCUGCCAGCCCAGCCCCUCACUCAGCUCAACUCCACACAAGCACCUCCCCACAGAAAAAACUUAAUCCACUUAAUGCGGUUUCUUGAUAUAAACUUAUAUUUUUACAGCUGUAAUGUGUAUCUCUCAGUAGUUAGCCUAUCCUUUAAACUCAAAAGAGACAUAAUUCAGUCCUCUGGUUCAUGACCACGAUUGCCAUGGACUACGAGUCCGCCAUUACAGAUACACAAUCCAGCGAGUCGCCUUUACAAACCCAUGAGCUUGUGAAUUCACUCUUUAGCUCGACGUCUGUUACACUCCAAGGCACUUAAGAUAUAUCAUUACUGUUGUCCAUUACUUUUAUAGUAUUUCUGAACCAGCUAACCUGCAAACACAUAAAAACAGUCAUUAAUAGGAGUGUACUCUAUGCUGUGCCUGUACCAUUGACUGUAUAUAAAAUGGACGCCAUCUGCCUCCUCGCUGGGUGAAGCCACCCCAAGAACAGCGCCCUCUGGUGACAGGCUGCAGUAUAGGUCAUAAAUCCUGCCCCCACCAGCCAUCCUUAUGGGGUCUGUGGACAAACUUUAGAAAUUUAUUACACAAAAUAUAAAUUCUUCUCCCCCUAACUGUGAUGUUGACAUGUAGCUACUGUAAGACUGGUUUGUGCUCAAGUCCUCUUUUUUCUGUGCAGCUCCAUUUUUAAAAGUUAUUAGGUGGUUCAUGUUUUCUAUGAUUGACACUUGAUACAGCCUAUGUGCAAUGUUGGUUUCAGGAAGUGGAGAAAAAAAUGCAGAAUCACAGAGAGCUUUUUGGCUUCAAAUCCGUAUACUGGCAGAAGGUGGAACCAAGUUGUCCAAAGUAUAUACAGUCUAUGGUCUGAACGCUUCAUCCUCAGACACUGACUGGACUUCUCCUGCUGUUGCAUCAGCUAUCCGCUAGGUGAGGUACCGAGUGCCCCCUGCUGGUGAAACAUAUAUUACACUAUCUUACAGGAAAAUAGACGCUACAGUAGUUUUAGUAUUGCACGUGAACUUUAUUCAUAUAAAUAAAAUGGGGGGUUGACUAUUUCCAUGCCUUCAAUAACUCAUAGUGCCACAUAAGCAGUAUCUCUAAGUGAUCUUUUUAAUUGAUUGCAUCUUUAUCUUGUAGUGACUGAGAAUAUUUAUGGGAUGAUCGAUGUAUGUUACAUUUUUGAUAAUCCUUUCUUGUGACAACGAGCUCUAUGAGAGUUUGACUGGAGGUUGAACGCAACAUCCUGACUCUACUAUUUGUUGUUUGUGUGACACUCUAUUUACUCUCUGAUUCAAAGGAUUACAACACCCCCCCCCAAAAAAAAAAAAAAAACACUUCCGUUGAAGUUCAAGUGUAAUCCACUCAUACAGAUUAGUUUUUUUCUCCCAUACUUUGAGGUUUUUGAUUCAACUUUGUUCACCCACAGACUUUUUGACAUCCUUCCUCAACUAAUGGAGAUAACGUGUCGAUACUGAUGUUGAAAUAAAAUCAAAAGAUAGGACAAACUUCACCAUUUCAAGAGGAUUAAGUUGAUGAAAAACAGCUUCUUUAAGGUGUGGUCUCUUAUUGGUGUUUGAAUCAACAUUUAUGUUAUCAUUUAAAAAGGAAGGGCUUUUUUGGUCUGUUUCACACUUCAGUUUCCGCCUUCUGCUCACGGACUGCAGAGAAAAGACGCCCUUCAAAACACAACGCUGGUCAUAUUUGUAAGUAGAAUAGUUUAAUGAAAUGUCUGAUACUUUUUCAUCUCCUGUUAGCUUUUCAUGUCACAUAUUUGACUUGUGUUAUUAUCCCUAAAGUCCCAGAGAAAGGAGAGAGGAGCAGAGAUGAGUUUAACUGCAGCAGUGAGUGGAUUCAUCCUUCUCCUCUCUGUAUCAGGUACUUCAUAUCUAAAGCUUUUCCUCUUCACUCUGAGAAACCUGCAGCCUCUUUUUAAUUUGAUCAAAAACAGACUCUGCUUACAGAACCUGCAGUUUUUUCUCCAAAAUUCUGAUUGUAAUUUGCUGUAUUGAAAUCAGUUUUUGAGUUUUUUAGUGGAUACUAGUUUUGCAGUCAGGCUAGUGUCUCAGGGACUCAUUUAUUACAACACAUCUGCAACAACCCUGUCUGUUCCUCUUCAUAGGUGUUAUAUUUCCAUGCUGAUGCUGCAUUGACAGCACUUAUCUAAUCAUUGAGUAUUAGCUGCUGUACAGUUUCUCACCCCUUAGACUUCUGCAUUUAUUUUUAGAUACACACUUGACUGGGCAGCUAACUUUGCACAGAGAAAACUUUCACAGAACAGCACAAUCUGUCAAAUAAUUUACACUGUUAAUAAUGCUGUUGGGUUAGAGAAGUGUUCAUGAAUAUAAACAUCUGUAAUUUUUCAGUAUGGAUAAAUCUUCUCUCAGAUAUUUUGAUAAGUAGUUUAAAAUCUAAUAUCAAACAGAGAAAAAAGCUAAACCUGACAAAAAUAUCUUACAUGUGAUUGUUAUAUCAAGAUGAUGUCGGACUGCACCUCAAUGAUCUGGUUCAGAUUUAUUUAUUUCAUGUUCAGUCUUAAACUUUUCCUGGUCUGGUUAAAUUGACUGUGUUCUCUGAUUUUUGUGUUUUAGUGGUUCAGCCUCAGAACGGCUGGGAGGUGACUUACUCUACAGCUCAGAUCUGUGUCUCUAGAGGAUCAACUGUAGAAAUAAGCUGCAACUUUAAGUACCCAAAAACAAUGAAGAGGAAGCAGAACAAACUCUUAAAAACAUUUUGGUUUAUUAGGAAACGUGGUGAUGAGUUUCUAAACAUUGAAACAGACUCAGAGUAUUCAGGUCGUGUGAAGACCACGCAUGAUGGGACCAGAUCCACCCUAACAAUCACAAACCUGACAGGGAGUGACUCAGCUCAGUACAAGUUCAGGAUGGAGACAAGCUUUGACAAAUAUUUUGGCAGCGGAGGUGUGACCUUGUCUGUCAGAGGUAAAGUUUUCUCUGAAAUUUUUUCAUCUUUUAUCUUUUUUAAAAUCCUGUAAAUGAUUGUAUCAUGUGUAUGUUUAUGUGGAAAGUACUGACAGUUUUAUCUGAUCAGAUGUCCAGAUAAUGGUGAGCAGACCAGGUGGGCAUUUGCAGUUGAAGUGUCUCAGCCGUUGUCGUCAAGAUUUUCGAUACAUUUGGUUCAAGAACGGAGAGAAGAUUAAGAACCAAAAUUCAAAAGAUCAUCAACCAGACCAGAUUCUGAACACAGACAGAUUUUCCUGUGCUGUAGAAGGAUAUGAGGACUUCCCCUCUCCUUCAGUGUGUGAGUUUACCCCUCCCUUUCCUCUAACACAACACUAUCUGAUGGAGGUUUGAAAAUUUGGUGCGUGCCCUGACUCUCUGGUCUGUGGCUAACAUUUCCACUUUAAAAAACAUCUCAUAUCUGUGAUGCUCAGAGUAAAAACUCAAUAGUAAAGAGUUGUUAAAGGACAGAGAGCAUAAACCAAGUACAUCAGUGACUGAAAUGUUAACUGUAAAAUGUGUUUCUUCUUCAGAUGCUUUCGAGCCUCCCUCUGUGUCAGUGAGUUCCUCUGCUGAGAUAAUGGAGGGAAAAAAUGUGACUCUGACCUGCAGCAGUGAUGCUAAUGUAGAAUCCAGUUAUACCUGGUAUCAAAGAAAUGAACCUCGAUAUCCUCUGCGUCUCAGGAGAGGACCUCAGCUUGUCUUCAGCUCCAUCAAGUCCUCAGACUUUGGACAGUAUUACUGUGAAGUGAGGAACAUCUUUGGGACACAGAUAUCGGGGAACAUCUUGGCUGGUUUGACAUGUGUGUGAAACAUCACAGUUCAAACACAUUAGAAAGACAAUAAACUACACAACAAUACCUCAAAACAGUUUUAUCCUGUAUUUGAACAAAAAGCACUAAGACAAAAUUUCUUCUUUUAUAUGUUUAUUUGCAUGUUUUAAUUUACUAACUUUGAUUAAAUCCAUUUCCAGAUGAUCCAGAGCUUCCCUCUGUGUCAGUGAGUCCCUCUGCUGAGAUAGUGGAGGGUAAUCAUGUGACUCUGACCUGCAGCAGUGAUGCUAAGCCAGAUGCUAACCAUACCUGGUACAGAAGAAAUGGUGAUCUAAGUCCUCAGAGUCUCAGAAAAGGAAAUCAGCUUGUCUUCAGCUCCAUCCAGGUGUCAGACUCUGGACAGUAUUAUUGUGAAGUGAGGGGCAUCACUGAGUCCUCUAGGGAUGUCUUAGUCUAUGUGAAAUGUGAGUAAAGUCACAUUUAAAGGGCAACAUAAGGAUGAAAACCAUACACAACCAUAUCCCAGAACAUUUUUUUAUUCUGUUUCUUUGUCAUUUCUGUUUUUAUCCGUCUUCAGAUGCUCCAAAGUUCUCUUAUGUGUCUGUGAGUCCCUCUUCUGAGAUAGUGGAGGGCAGUUCAGUGACUCUGACCUGUAUCAGUUACGCCAACCCAGCACCACGUUCCACCUGGUACAAGGAGAACAACACCACGUUUCAUUCAACAGGAGGAAUUUAUACUUUUCUCAACAUCAGCCAUCUGGACAGAGGGAGAUACAACUGCAGAUCUGAGAAUCAAUAUGGAUCACAUGUAUCUCCCCCUCUCUCACUGGAUAUCCAGUGUGAGUAGAAGACAUUACAAAGUUAGAUCACCUGGUACAAAACUCUUCUUAAUGGCUUAAGUCUCCAUGUAAAGUUCUCUUUCGAUCUCCUCCAGAUGCUCCAAAACGUCCCUCUGUGUCAGUGAGUCCCUCUGCUGAGAUAGUGGAGGGUAGUUCAGUAAAUCUGACCUGCAGCAGUGAUGCUAACCCUGCAGCUACUUAUACCUGGUACAAAGAGAGUGAAGACUCAGCAAACGCUUCAGGACAGACCCUCACCAUCACUGAGUUCAGAGCUCAUCACAGUGGGAAUUAUUACUGUGAAGCCCGAAACAAAAUAGGACGCCAGAAAUCCAGCCCACAUCAGAUCGUUGCGGCAGGUGAGAUAUUUACACACCUGCACACAGAGAGCUUACCCAGAAUACUCAAAGCAGCUCAUGAUAUGUUUAAUUAAUUAAUUUUUUCCUUCACAAACAUGUUUUCUCUGAAUCAGAUCUUAAAACUGACUAAAGUGAAUAAUUCAUGGAGGGACCUCCAUGUCAGAUUCUGGCUCAACAGAGUCUCAGACAGAGCUAAAGAUAUAGACCAGUCUGAUUCUGUUAGUAAUGUGUCUCACAUAUCUCUCUUCUUUCAUUCAAGGGAAAUCAACAAUAACAACCAUAAUUAGCAUCAGGUUGACCCUGUUCUUUUUGAUGUUAAUUCCACCACUUCUUGUGAUUCUGUUGACAAGGUAAAACCAUAAAACUCCAUCAAUUCAAACACGUUUCUUUUAUGAUCCUCUUCACUUGGUUCAUAGUUUAAUUUCUUUUCUCUCUAUUAUUGUAAAACUAACUUUUCUCAAAUGUAAUAAUCCAGGAAGAAGAAACCUCUGAGCUCCAACACUGAACCAAGUGAACCUGCAGAGAUGAUAGAGGUGAGACCGACUGCUGACAAAACAUCUUUACAGACCUGUUCAAAGAUGUCAGGAUCAAAGUUUCAAAAUGGGACUAAAAUACUUUCAAAGAUGAUCAACUCUCUUCAUCUGUCCUCAGCUGGACUCUGCUCAUGAGAAUGAGAAAGUCUCAGCGGUCACUGCAGCACAGACUGAAGACAUAGAGGAGCAGGAAGACAGGGUGUAAAGUCCAGUCAGGGUGGGGUGUCUCCAGUGGUGCUGAUGGUCUACUGGUCCCAUAACUGGACUAGAGUCCCCUGUUGAGCGGUUGCUGGUUCAACUCCCGCCCAUGAUCCUUUGCUGCACAUGUUCUCUCAGUCAAAAAUAAGACGUUUCAAACUCUUACUUUUGUCAUGUUGGUUAAGUUUCCUUUAUUUUUGCACAUUCAUGUUUUGUUUCAUGUCAUGUAUUUCCUGUUUUAUUUUGUAGUUCACCAACUCUUGUUUCUGUCUUCUAGCUUUGUUCCUGUCUGGUCUGCCCUCGUUUUGUCACACCUGCUGCCUGAUUGUGUUUCCCCACCUGUUCCCCAUCACCCUCACUACCUCUUGUAUUUAAUCUCAUGCAUCUCACUUUCUCAUCACCAGUUCGUUGCACUCUAUAGUCACGUUCCAGCAUUAUGCAUAGUUUUAGUCAAGUCAUGUAUUACCUUUGCCUGCUUUAUUUUUGACCUUGCCGUUUUACAAUAAAUCCUUGUCUUUUGGACCAACUGAUCUGGUGUUGUGCAAAUGUGUUCUCUCCUCUGUGUCUUGGUUUAUAACAGUUUCUACAGAGAGUCUGACCUCCUCCACAGAGAUAACAGACCAACUUCAGAUAGAUUCUCACUGUCUUAAUCUUUAUUUUUUUGUGAUUGUACGCAGAUGCAGUGUGUUUCACCCUCCACAUAGUUAAAAAAAAGUCCUGUCAACAAGACUUUGGCAGAUCUGUUGGUCCAGCCCCUCUAAUAUUUCACUGUCCAAAAUGAUGGGCCAACUCAUCUCCUGUGUGGCAUAUUUAUUCUUACAGGAACUGCAAAAACAUAAAAACAGUCAUUAAUAGGAGCGCACUCUGUUCUGUGUCUUUACGCUUCAUCCUCACACACUGACUGGACUUCUCUGUUUUAUGAUAAACACUCUACACUUGCACUGUAAAACAACUCUUAAAGCAACACAAUACUACAGUGGUGUUGAAAUAAAAUCCAUGACAUUACUGUCUCAAUAUUUAUACUAUUUUAACCAUUACAUCUCCUUUAUGAACUGUAUAACUGAUCUUUAGUUAAGUAAAUCUAUUUCAAACUAAUGUCUUUUAAUGUAUUAACAUUGCACUGUCCCUUAAUACACUGAACAUAAAGUGUUUUACUUUCCCUCUUCCCACAAUGAAAACACACGUUGUGGCUUUAACCUAAAAUACAAGCGUGCACAAUACAGACUCUCAUUGCAGCCUACUAACUGGACCAUAGCAUGGCACCACAGCCGCACCUGCCAGCCCAGCCCCUCACUCAGCUCAACUCCACACAAGCACCUCCCCACAGAAAAAACUUAAUCCACUUAAUGCGGUUUCUUGAUAUAAACUUAUAUUUUUACAGCUGUAAUGUGUAUCUCUCAGUAGUUAGCCUAUCCUUUAAACUCAAAAGAGACAUAAUUCAGUCCUCUGGUUCAUGACCACGAUUGCCAUGGACUACGAGUCCGCCAUUACAGAUACACAAUCCAGCGAGUCGCCUUUACAAACCCAUGAGCUUGUGAAUUCACUCUUUAGCUCGACGUCUGUUACACUCCAAGGCACUUAAGAUAUAUUAUUACUGUUGUCCAUUACUUUUAUAGUAUUUCUGAACCAGCUAACCUGCAAACACAUAAAAACAGUCAUUAAUAGGAGUGUACUCUAUGCUGUGCCUGUACCAUUGACUGUAUAUAAAAUGGACGCCAUCUGCCUCCUCGCUGGGUGAAGCCACCCCAAGAACAGCGCCCUCUGGUGACAGGCUGCAGUAUAGGUCAUAAAUCCUGCCCCCACCAGCCAUCCUUAUGGGGUCUGUGGACAAACUUUAGAAAUUUAUUACACAAAAUAUAAAUUCUUCUCCCCCCUAACUGUGAUGUUGACAUGUAGCUACUGUAAGACUGGUUUGUGCUCAAGUCCUCUUUUUUCUGUGCAGCUCCAUUUUUAAAAGUUAUUAGGUGGUUCAUGUUUUCUAUGAUUGACACUUGAUACAGCCUAUGUGCAAUGUUGGUUUCAGGAAGUGGAGAAAAAAAUGCAGAAUCACAGAGAGCUUUUUGGCUUCAAAUCCGUAUACUGGCAGAAGGUGGAACCAAGUUGUCCAAAGUAUAUACAGUCUAUGGUCUGAACGCUUCAUCCUCAGACACUGACUGGACUUCUCUUGCUGUUGCAUCAGCUAUCCGCAAGGUGAGGUACCGAGUGCCCCCUGCUGGUGAAACAUAUAUUACACUAUCUUACAGGAAAAUAGACGCUACAGUAGUUUUAGUAUUGCACGUGAACUUUAUUCAUAUAAAUAAAAUGGGGGUUUGACUAUUUCCAUGCCUUCAAUAACGCAUAGUGCCACAUAAGCAGUAACUCUAAGUGAUCUUUUUAAUUGAUUGCAUCUUUAUCUUGUAGUGACUGAGAAUAUUUAUGGGAUGAUCGAUGUAUGUUACAUUUUUGAUAAUCCUUUCUUGUGACAACGAGCUCUAUGAGAGUUUGACUGGAGGUUGAACGCAACAUCCUGACUCUACUAUUUGUUGUUUGUGUGACACUCUAUUUACUCUCUGAUUCAAAGGAUUACAACACCCCCCCCCCAAAAAAAAAAAAAAAAAACACUUCCGUUGAAGUUCAAGUGUAAUCCACUCAUACAGAUUAGUUUUUUUCUCCCAUACUUUGAGGUUUUUGAUUCAACUUUGUUCACCCACAGACUUUUUGACAUCCUUCCUCAACUAAUGGAGAUAACGUGUCGAUACUGAUGUUAAAAUAAAAUCAAAAGAUAGGACAAACUUAACCAUUUCAAGAGGAUUAAGUUGAUGAAAAACAGCUUCUUUAAGGUGUGGUCUCUUAUUGGUGUUUGAAUCAACAUUUAUGUUAUCAUUUAAAAAGGAAGGGCUUUUUUGGUCUGUUUCACACUUCAGUUUCCGCCUUCUGCUCACGGACUGCAGAGAAAAGACGCCCUUCAAAACACAACGCUGGUCAUAUUUGUAAGUAGAAUAGUUUAAUGAAAUGUCUGAUACUUUUUCAUCUCCUGUUAGCUUUUCAUGUCACAUAUUUGACUUGUGUUAUUAUCCCUAAAGUCCCAGAGAAAGGAGAGAGGAGCAGAGAUGAGUUUAACUGCAGCAGUGAGUGGAUUCAUCCUUCUCCUCUCUGUAUCAGGUACUUCAUAUCUAAAGCUUUUCCUCUUCACUCUGAGAAACCUGCAGCCUCUUUUUAAUUUGAUCAAAAACAGACUCUGUUUGCAGAACCUGCAGUUUUUUCUCCAAAAUUCUGAUUGUAAUUUGCUGUAUUGAAAUCACUUUUUGAGUUUUUUAGUGGAUACUAGUUUUGCAGUCAGGCUAGUGUCUCAGGGACUCAUUUAUUACAACACAUCUGCAACAACCCUGUCUGUUCCUCUUCAUAGGUGUUAUAUUUCCAUGCUGAUGCUGCAUUGACAGCACUUAUCUAAUCAUUGAGUAUUAGCUGCUGUACAGUUUCUCACCCCUUAGACUUCUGCAUUUAUUUUUAGAUACACACUUGACUGGGCAGCUAACUUUGCACAGAGAAAACUUUCACAGAACAGCACAAUCUGUCAAAUAAUUUACACUGUUAAUAAUGCUGUUGGGUUAGAGAAGUGUUGAUGAAUAUAAACAUCUGUAAUUUUUCAGUAUGGAUAAAUCUUCUCUCUGAUAUUUUGAUAAGUAGUUUAAAAUCUAAUAUCAAACAGAGAAAAAAGCUAAACCUGACAAAAAUAUCUUACAUGUGAUUGUUAUAUCAAGAUGAUGUCGGACUGCACCUCAAUGAUCUGGUUCAGAUUUAUUUAUUUCAUGUUCAGUCUUAAACUUUUCCUGGUCUGGUUAAAUUGACUGUGUUCUCUGAUUUUUGUGUUUUAGUGGCUCAGCCUCAGAACGACUGGGAGGUGACUUACUCUAAAACUCAGAUCUGUGUCUCCAGAGGAUCAACUGUGGAAAUAAGCUGCAACUUUAAGUACCCAAAAACAAUGGAGAGGAAGCAGAACAAACUCUUAAAAACAUUUUGGUUUAUCAGGAGACGUGGUGAUGAGUUUCUAAACAUUGAAACAGACUCAGAGUAUUCAGGUCGUGUGAAGACCACGUAUGAUGGGACCAGAUCCACCCUAACAAUCACAAACCUGACAGGGAGUGACUCAGCUGAAUACAUGUUCAGGAUGGAGACAAGCCUGGACAAAUAUUCUGGCUACCCAGGUGUCACCUUGUCUGUCAGAGGUAAAGUUUUCUGUGAAAUUUUUCAUCCUUUACCUUUUUGAAAAUCGUGUAAAUGAUUAUAUUAUGUGUAUGUUUAUGUGGAAAGUACUGACAGUUUUAUCUGAUCAGAUGUCCAGAUAAUGGUGAGCAGACCAGGUGGGCAUUUGCAGUUGAAGUGUCUCAGCCGUUGUCGUCAAGAUUUUCGAUACAUUUGGUUCAUGAAUGGAGAAAAAAUUAAGAACCAAAAUUCAAAAUAUCAUCAACCAGACCAGACUCUGAACACAGACAGAUUUUCCUGUGCUGUAGAAGGAUAUGAGGACUUCCCCUCUCCUUCAGUGUGUGAGUUUACCCCUCCCUUUCCUCUAACACAACACUAUCUGAUGGAGGUUUUAAAAUUUGGUGCGUGCCCUGACUCUCUGGUCUGUGGCUAACAUUUCCACUUUAAAAAACAUCUCAUAUCUGUGAUGCUCAGAGUAAAAACUCAAUAGUAAAGAGUUGUUAAAGGACAGAGAGCAUAAACCAAGUACAUCAGUGACUGAAAUGUUAACUGUAAAAUGUGUUUCUUCUUCAGAUGCUUUCGAGCCUCCCUCUGUGUCAGUGAGUUCCUCUGCUGAGAUAAUGGAGGGAAAAAAUGUGACUCUGACCUGCAGCAGUGGUGCUAAUGUAGAAUCCAGUUAUACCUGGUAUCAAAGAAAUGAACCUCUAUAUCCUCUGCGUCUCAGGAGAGGACCUCAGCUUGUCUUCAGCUCCAUCAAGUCCUCAGACUUUGGACAGUAUUACUGUGAAGUGAGGAACACCUUUGGGACACAGAUAUCGGGGAACAUCUUGGCUGGUUUGACAUGUGUGUGAAACAUCACAGUUCAAACACAUUAGAAAGACAAUAAACUACACAACAAUACCUCAAAACAGUUUUAUCCUGUAUUUGAACAAAAAGCACUAAGACAAAAUUUCUUCUUUUAUAUGUUUAUUUGCAUGUUUAAUUUACUAACUUUGAUUAAAUCCAUUUCCAGAUGAUCCAGAGCUUCCCUCUGUGUCAGUGAGUCCCUCUGCUGAGAUAGUGGAGGGUAAUCAUGUGACUCUGACCUGCAGCAGUGAUGCUAAGCCAGAUGCUACUUAUACCUGGUACAGAAGAAGUGGACGUCUAAGUCUGAGUCUCAGAAAAGGAAAUCAGCUUGUUUUCAGCUCCAUUCAGUCCUCAGACUCUGGACAGUAUUAUUGUGAAGUGAGGGGCAUCACUGAGUCCUCUAGGGACGUCUUAGUCUAUGUGAAAUGUGAGUAAAAAGUCACAUUUAAAGAGGAACAGAAGGAUGAAAACCAUACACAACCAUAUCCCAGAAAUGAUUUUUAUUCUGUGUUCGUUUCUUUGUCAUUUCUGUUUUUAUCCGUCUUCAGAUGCUCCAAAGUUCUCUUAUGUGUCUGUGAGUCCCUCUUCUGAGAUAGUGGAGGGCAGUUCAGUGACUCUGACCUGUAUCAGUUAUGCCAACCCAGCACCACGUUCCACCUGGUACAAGGAGAACAACACCACGUUUCAGUCAACAGGAGGAAUUUAUACUUUUCUCAACAUCAGCCAUCUGGACAGAGGGAGAUACAACUGCAGAUCUGAGAAUCAAUAUGGAUCACAUGUAUCUCCCCCUCUCUCACUAGAUAUCCAGUGUGAGUAGAAGACAUUACAAAGUUAGAUCACCUGGUACAAAACUCUUCUUAAUGGCUUAAGUCUCCAUGUAAAGUUUUCUUUCGAUCUCUUCCAGAUGCUCCAAAACGUCCCUCUGUGUCAGUGAGUCCCUCUGCUGAGAUAGUGGAGGGUAAUCAUGUGACUCUGACCUGCAGCAGUGAUGCUAACCCUGCAGCUACUUAUACCUGGUACAAAGAGAGUGAAGACUCAGCAAACGCUUCAGGACAGACCUUCACCAUCACUGAGUUCAGAGCUAAUCACAGUGGGAAUUAUUACUGUGAAGCCCGGAACAAAAUAGGACGCCAGAAAUCCAGCCCACAUCAGAUCGUUGCAGCAGGUGAGAUAUUUACACACCUGCACACAGAGAGCUUACCCAGAAUACUCAAAGCAGCUCAUGAUAUAUUUGAUUAAUUAAUUUUUUCCUUCACAAACAUGUUUUCUCUGAAUCAGAUCUUAAAACUGACUAAAGUGAAUAAUUCAUGGAGGGAACUCCAUGUCAGAUUCUGGCUCAACAGAGUCUCAGACAGAGCUAAAGAUAUAGACCAGUCUGAUUCUGUUAGUAAUGUGUCUCACAUAUCUCUCUUCUUUCAUUCAAGGGAAAUCAACAAUAACAACCAUAAUUAGCAUCAGGUUUACCCUGUUCUUUUUGAUGUUGAUUCCUCCACCUCUCGUGAGUCUGUUGACAAGGUAAAACCAUAAAACUCCAUCAAUUCAAACAUGUUUCUUUUAUGAGCUUCUUCACUUGGUUCAUAGUUUAUUUUCUUUUCUCUCUAUCACUGUAAAACUGACUGUUCUCAAAUGUAAUAAUCCAGGAAGAAGAAACCUCUGAACUCCAACACUGAACCAAGUGAACCUGCAGAGAUGAUAGAGGUGAGACCGACUGCUGACAAAACAUCUUUACAGACCUGUUCAAAGAUGUCAGGAUCAAAGUUUCAAAAUGGGACUAAAAUACUUUCAAAGAUGAUCAACUCUCUUCAUCUGUCCUCAGCUGGACUCUGCUCAUGAGAAUGAGAAAGUCUCAGCGGUCACUGCAGCACAGACUGAAGACAUAGAGGAGCAGGAAGACAGGGUGUAAAGUCCAGUCAGGGUGGGGUGUCUCCAGUGGUGCUGAUGGUCUACUGGUCCCAUAACUGGACUAGAGUCCCCUGUUGAGCGGUUGCUGGUUCAACUCCCGCCCAUGAUCCUUUGCUGCACAUGUUCUCUCACUUUCUACACUCCUCAUUUGCUGUCUUUCUUCUGCUUUCCUAUCUACAAAAGGAAAAAAUGCCCCAAAACACGACUGUCAUGAAAGUCAAAUAGAAAAACAAGAUACUUUAAAAAUCAAGUCAAAAAUAAGACGUUUCAAACUCUUACUUUUGUCAUGUUGGUUAAGUUUCCUUUAUUUUUGCACAUUCAUGUUUUGUUUCAUGUCAUGUAUUUCCUGUUUUAUUUUGUAGUUCACCAACUCUUGUUUCUGUCUUCUAGCUUUGUUCCUGUCUGGUCUGCCCUCGUUUUGUCACACCUGCUGCCUGAUUGUGUUUCCCCACCUGUUCCCCAUCACCCUCACUACCUCUUGUAUUUAAUCUCAUGCAUCUCACUGUCUCGUCACCAGUUCGUUGCACUCUAUAGUCACGUUCCAGCAUUAUGCAUAGUUUUAGUCAAGUCAUGUAUUACCUUUGCCUGCUUUAUUUCUGACCUUGCUGUUUUACAAUAAAUUCCUUGUCUUUUGGACCAACUGAUCUGGUGUUGUGCAAUUGUGUUCUCUCCUCUGUGUCUUGGUUUAUAACAGUUUCAACAGAGAGUCUGACCUCCUCCACCGAGAUAACAGACCAACUUCAGAUUCAUUCUCACUGUCUUAAUCUUUUUUUUGUGAUUGUACGCAGAUGCAGUGUGUUUCACCCUCCAGUUAGUUAAAAAAAAGUCCUGUCAACAAGACUUUGGCAGAUCUGUUGGUCCAGCCACUCUAAUAUUUCACUGUCCAAAAUGAUGGGCCAACUCAUCUCCUGUGUAGCAUAUUUAUUUUUACAGGAACUGCAAAAACAUAAAAACAGUCAUUAAUAGGAGCGCACUCUGUUCUGUGUCUUUACGCUUCAUCCUCACACACUGACUGGACUUCUCUGUUUUAUGAUAAACACUCUACACUUGCACUGUAAAACAACUCUUAAAGCAACACAAUACUACAGUGGUGUUGAAAUAAAAUCCAUGACAUUACUGUCUCAAUAUUUAUACUAUUUUAACCAUUACAUCUCCUUUAUGAACUGUAUAACUGAUCUUUAGUUAAGUAAAUCUAUUUCAAACUAAUGUCUUUUAAUGUAUUAACACUGCACUGUCCCUUAAUACACUGAACAUAAAGUGUUUUACUUUCCCUCUUCCCACAAUGAAAACACACAGUGUGGCUUUAACCUAAAAUACAAGCGUGCACAAUACAGACUCUCAUCACGGUCUACUAACUGGACCAUAGCAUGGCACCACAGCCGCACCUGCCAGCCCAGCCCAGCCCCUCACUCAGCUCAACUCCACACAAGCACCUCCCCACAGAAAAAACUUAAUCCACUUAAUGCGGUUUCUUGAUAUAAACUUAUAUUUUUACAGCUGUAAUGUGUAUCUCUCAGUAGUUAGCCUAUCCUUUAAACUCAAAAGAGACAUAAUUCAGUCCUCUGGUUCAUGACCACGAUUGCCAUGGACUACGAGUCCACCAUUACAGAUACACAAUCCAGCGAGUCGCCUUUACAAACCCUUGAGCUUGUGAAUUCACUCUUUAGCUCGACGUCUGUUACACUCCAAGGCACUUAAGAUAUAUCAUUUACUGUUGUCCAUUACUUUUAUAGUAUUUCUGAACCAGCUAACCUGCAAACACAUAAAAACAGUCAUUAAUAGGAGUGUACUCUAUGCUGUGCCUGUACCAUUGACUGUAUAUAAAAUGGACGCCGUCUGCCUCCUCGCUGGGUGAAGCCACCCCAAGAACAGCGCCCUCUGGUGACAGGCUGCAGUAUAGGUCAUAAAUCCUGCCCCCACCAGCCAUCCUUAUGGGGUCUGUGGACAAACUUUAGAAAUUUAUUACACAAAAUAUAAAUUCUUCUCCCCCUAACUGUGAUGUUGACAUGUAGCUACUGUAAGACUGGUUUGUGCUCAAGUCCUCUUUUUUCUGUGCAGCUCCAUUUUUAAAAGUUAUUAGGUGGUUCAUGUUUUCUAUGAUUGACACUUGAUACAGCCUAUGUGCAAUGUUGGUUUCAGGAAGUGGAGAAAAAUAUGCAGAAUCACAGAGAGCUUUUUGGCUUCAAAUCCGUAUACUGGCAGAAGGUGGAACCAAGUUGUCCAAAGUAUAUACAGUCUAUGGUCUGAACGCUUCAUCCUCAGACACUGACUGGACUUCUCCUGCUGUUGCAUCAGCUAUCCGCUAGGUGAGGUACCGAGUGCCCCCUGCUGGUGAAACAUAUAUUACACUAUCUUACAGGAAAAUAGACGCUACAGUAGUUUUAGUAUUGCAUGUGAACUUUAUUCAUAUAAAUAAAAUGGGGGUUUGACUAUUUCCAUGCCUUCAAUAACGCAUAGUGCCACAUAAGCAGUAACUCUAAGUGAUCUUUUUAAUUGAUUGCAUCUUUAUCUUGUAGUGACUGAGAAUAUUUAUGGGAUGAUCGAUGUAUGUUACAUUUUUGAUAAUCCUUUCUUGUGACAACGAGCUCUAUGAGAGUUUGACUGGAGGUUGAACGCAACAUCCUGACUCUACUAUUUGUUGUUUGUGUGACACUCUAUUUACUCUCUGAUUCAAAGGAUUACAACACCCCCCCCCCCCCCAAAAAAAAAAAAAAAAAAAACACUUCCGUUGAAGUUCAAGUGUAAUCCACUCAUACAGAUUAGUUUUUUUCUCCCAUACUUUGAGGUUUUUGAUUCAACUUUGUUCACCCACAGACUUUUUGACAUCCUUCCUCAACUAAUGGAGAUAACGUGUCGAUACUGAUGUUAAAAUAAAAUCAAAAGAUAGUACAAACUUAACCAUUUCAAGAGAAUUAAGUUGAUGAAAAACAGCUUCUUUAAGGUGUGGUCUCUUAUUGGUGUUUGAAUCAACAUUUAUGUUAUCAUUUAAAAAGGAAGGGCUUUUUUGGUCUGUUUCACACUUCAGUUUCCGCCUUCUGCUCACGGACUGCAGAGAAAAGACGCCCUUCAAAACACAACGCUGGUCAUAUUUGUAAGUAGAAUAGUUUAAUGAAAUGUCUGAUACUUUUUCAUCUCCUGUGUGCUUUUCAUGUCACAUUUUUGACUUGUGUUAUCAUCCCUAAAGUCCCAGAGAAAGGAGAGAGGAGCAGAGAUGAGUUUAACUGCAGCAGUGAGUGGAUUCAUCCUUCUCCUCUCUGUAUCAGGUACUUCAUAUCUACAGCUUUUCCUUUUUAAUUUGAUCAAAAACAGACUCUGCUUACAGAACCUGCAGUUUUUUCUCCAAAAUUCUGAUUGUAAUUUGCUGUAUUGAAAUCACUUUUUGAGUUUUUUAGUGGAUACUAGUUUUGCAGUCAGGCUAGUGUCUCAGGGACUCAUUUAUUACAACACAUCUGCAACAACCCUGUCUGUUCCUCUUCAUAGGUGUUAUAUUUCCAUGCUGAUGCUGCAUUGACAGCACUUAUCUAAUCAUUGAGUAUUAGCUGCUGUACAGUUUCUCACCCCUUAGACUUCUGCAUUUAUUUUUAGAUACACACUUGACUGGGCAGCUAACUUUGCACAGAGAAAACUUUCACAGAACAGCACAAUCUGUCAAAUAAUUUACACUGUUAAUAAUGCUGUUGGGUUAGAGAAGUGUUCAUGAAUAUAAACAUCUGUAAUUUUUCAGUAUGGAUAAAUCUUCUCUCAGAUAUUUUGAUAAGUAGUUUAAAAUCUAAUAUCAAACAGAGAAAAAAGCUAAACCUGACAAAAAUAUCUUACAUGUGAUUGUUAUAUCAAGAUGAUGUCGGACUGCACCUCAAUGAUCUGGUUCAGAUUUAUUUAUUUCAUGUUCAGUCUUAAACUUUUCCUGGUCUGGUUAAAUUGACUGUGUUCUCUGAUUUUUGUGUUUUAGUGGUUCAGGCUCAGAACGGCUGGGAGGUGACUUACUCUAAAACUCAGAUCUGUGUCUCCAGAGGAUCAACUGUGGAAAUAAGCUGCAACUUUAAGUACCCAAAAACAAUGGAGAGGAAGCAGAACAAACUCUUAAAAACAUUUUGGUUUAUUAGGAAACGUGGUGAUGAGUUUCUAAACAUUGAAACAGACUCAGAGUAUUCAGGUCGUGUAAAGACCACGUAUGAUGGGACCAGAUCCACCUUGACAAUCACAAACCUGACAGGGAGUGACUCAGCUGAAUACAUGUUCAGGAUGGAGACAAGCGUGGACAAAUAUUUUGGCUACCCAGGUGUCACCUUGUCUGUCAGAGGUAAAGUUUUCUCUGAAAUUUUUCAUCUUUUAUCUUUUUUAAAAUCCUGUAAAUUAUUGUAUCAUGUGUAUGUUUAUGUGGAAAGUACUGACAGUUUUAUCUGAUCAGAUGUCCAGAUAAUGGUGAGCAGACCAGGUGGGCAUUUGCAGUUGAGGUGUCUCAGCCAUUGUCGUCAAGAUUUUCGAUACAUUUGGUUCAAGAAUGGAGAGAAGAUUAAGAACCAAAAUUCAAAAGAUCAUCAACCAGACCAGAUUCUGAACACAGACAGAUUUUCCUGUGCUGUAGAAGGAUAUGAGGACUUCCCCUCUCCUUCAGUGUGUGAGUUUACCCCUCCCUUUCCUCUAACACAACACUAUCUAUAGAGGUUUUAAAAUUUAGUGCGUGCCCUGACUCUCUGGUCUGUGGCUAACAUUUCCACUUUAAAAAACAUCUCAUAUCUGUGAUGCUCAGAGUAAAAACUCAAUAGUAAAGAGUUGUUAAAGGACAGAGAGCAUAAACCAAGUACAUCAGUGACUGAAAUGUUAACUGUAAAAUGUGUUUCUUCUUCAGAUGCUUUCGAGCCUCCCUCUGUGUCAGUAAGUUCCUCUGCUGAGAUAAUGGAGGGAAAAAAUCUGACUCUGACCUGCAGCAGUGACGCUAAUGUAGAAUCCAGUUAUACCUGGUAUCAAAGAAAUGAACUUCUACAUCCUCUGCGUCUCAGGAGAGGACCUCAGCUUGUCUUCAGCGCCAUUAAGUCCUCAGACUUUGGACAGUAUUACUGUGAAGUGAGGAACACCUUUGGGACACAGAUAUCGGGGAACAUCUUGGCUGGUUAUACAUGUGUGUGAAACAUCACAGUUCAAACACAUUAGAAAGACAAUAAACUACACAACAACACCUCAAAACAGUUUUAUCCUGUAUUUGAACAAAAAGCACUAAGACAAAAUUUCUUCUUUUAUAUGUUUAUUUGCAAGUUUAAUUUACUAACUUUGAUUAAAUCCAUUUCCAGAUGAUCCAAAACGUCCCUCUGUGUCAGUGAGUCCCUCUGCUGAGAUAGUGGAGGGUAAUCAUGUGACUGUGACCUGCAGCAGUGAUGCUAAGCCAGAUGCUAACCAUACCUGGUACAGAAGAAAUGGUGAUCUAAGUCCUCAGAGUCUCAGAAAAGGAAAUCAGCUUGUAUUCAGCUCCAUCCAGGUGUCAGACUCUGGACAGUAUUAUUGUGAAGUGAGGGGCAUCACUGAGUCCUCUAGGGAUGUCUUAGUCUAUGUGAAAUGUGAGUAAAAAGUCACAUUUAAAGAGGAACAGAAGGAUGAAAACCAUACACAACCAUGUCCCAGAAAUGAUUUUUAUUCUGUGUUUGUUUCUUUGUCAUUUCUGUUUUUAUCCGUCUUCAGAUGCUCCAAAGUUCUCUUAUGUGUCUGUGAGUCCCUCUUCUGAGAUAGUGGAGGGCAGUUCAGUGACUCUGACCUGUAUCAGUUACGCCAACCCAGCACCACGUUCCACCUGGUACAAGGAGAACAACACCACGUUUCAUUCAACAGGAGGAAUUUAUACUUUUCUCAACAUCAGCCAUCUGGACAGAGGGAGAUACAACUGCAGAUCUGAGAAUCAAUAUGGAUCACAUGUAUCUCCCCCUCUCUCACUAGAUAUCCAGUGUGAGUAGAAGACAUUACAAAGUUAGAUCACCUGGUACAAAACUCUUCUUAACGGCUGAAAGUCUCCAUGUAGGAAACUUGAAUGACUAAAGUUCUCUUUCGAUCUCCUCCAGAUGCUCCAAAACGUCCCUCUGUGUCAGUGAGUCCCUCUGCUGAGAUAGUGGAGGGUAGUUCAGUAAAUCUGACCUGCAGCAGUGAUGCUAACCCUGCAGCUACUUACACCUGGUACAAAGAGAGUGAAGACUCAGCAAAAGCUUCAGGACAGACCCUCACCAUCACUGAGUUCAGAGCUAAUCACAGUGGGAAUUAUUACUGUGAAGCCCGGAACAAAAUAGGACGCCAGAAAUCCAGCCCACAUCAGAUCGUUGCAGCAGGUGAGAUGUUUACACACCUGCACACAGAGAGCUCACCCUGAAUACUCAAAGUGGCUCAUGAUAUAUUUGAUUAAUUAAUUUUUUCCUUCACAAACACGUUUUCUCUGCAUCAGAUCUUAAAACUGACUAAAGUGAAUAAUUCAUGGAGGGAACUCCAUGUCAGAUUCUGGCUCAACAGAGUCUCAGACAGAGCUAAAGAUAUAGACCAGUCUGAUUCUGUUAGUAAUGUGUCUCACAUAUCUCUCUUCUUUCAUUCAAGGGAAAUCAACAAUAACAACCAUAAUUAGCAUCAGGUUGACCCUGUUCUUUUUGAUGUUAAUUCCACCACUUCUUGUGAUUCUGUUGACAAGGUAAAACCAUAAAACUCCAUCAAUUCAAACACGUUUCUUUUAUGAUCCUCUUCACUUGGUUCAUAGUUUAAUUUCUUUUCUCUCUAUUAUUGUAAAACUGACUUUUCUCAAAUGUAAUAAUCCAGGAAGAAGAAACCUCUGAACUCCAACACUGAACCAAGUGAACCUGCAGAGAUGAUAGAGGUGAGACCGAUUGCUGACAAAACAUCUUUACAGACCUGUUCAAAGAUGUCAGGAUCAAAGUUUCAAAAUGGGACUAAAAUACUUUCAAAGAUGAUCAACUCUCUUCAUCUGUCCUCAGCUGGACUCUGCUCAUGAGAAUGAGAAAGUCUCAGCGGUCACUGCAGCACAGACUGAAGACAUAGAGGAGCAGGAAGACAGGGUGUAAAGUCCAGUCAGGGUGGGGUGUCUCCAGUGGUGCUGAUGGUCUACUGGUCCCAUAACUGGACUAGAGUCCCCUGUUGAGCGGUUGCUGGUUCAACUCCCGCCCAUGAUCCUUUGCUGCACAUGUUCUCUCACUUUCUACACUCCUCAUUUGCUGUUUUUCUUCUGCUUUCCUAUCUACAAAAGGAAAAAAUGCCCAAAAACACGACUGUCAUGAAAGUCAAAUAGAAAAACAAGAUACUUUAAAAAUCAAGUCAAAAAUAAGACGUUUCAAACUCUUACUUUUGUCAUGUUGGUUAAGUUUCUUUUAUUUUUGCACAUUCAUGUUUUGUUUCAUGUCAUGUAUUUCCUGUUUUAUUUUGUAGUUCACCAACUCUUGUUUCUGUCUUCUAGCUUUGUUCCUGUCUGGUCUGCCCUCGUUUUGUCACACCUGCUGCCUGAUUGUGUUUCCCCACCUGUUCCCCAUCACCCUCACUACCUCUUGUAUUUAAUCUCAUGCAUCUCACUUUCUCAUCACCAGUUCGUUGCACUAUAUAGUCACGUUCCAGCAUUAUGCAUAGUUUUAGUCAAGUCAUGUGUUACCUUUGCCUGCUUUAUUUCUUACCUUGCCGUUUUACAAUAAAUCCUUGUCUUUUGGACCAACUGAUCUGGUGUUGUGCAAAUGUGUUCUCUCCUCUGUGUCUUGGUUUAUAACAGUUUCUACAGAGAUUUUGACCUCCUCCACCGAGAUAACAGACCAACUUCAGAUAGAUUCUCACUGUCUUAAUCUUUAUUUUUUUGUGAUUGUACGCAGAUGCAGUGUGUUUCACCCUCCACAUAGUUAAAAAAAAGUCCUGUCAACAAGACUUUGGCAGAUCUGUUGGUCCAGCCACUCUAAUAUUUCACUGUCCAAAAUGAUGGGCCAUCUCAUCUCCUGUGUAGCAUAUUUAUUUUUACAGGAACUGCAAAAACAUAAAAACAGUCAUCAAUAGGAGCGCACUCUGUUCUGUGUCUUUACGCUUCAUCCUCACACACUGACUGGACUUCUCUGUUUUAUGAUAAACACUCUACACUUGCACUGUAAAACAACUCUUAAAGCAACACAAUACUACAGUGGUGUUGAAAUAAAAUCCAUGACAUUACUGUCUCAAUAUUUAUACUAUUUUAACCAUUACAUCUCCUUUAUGAACUGUAUAACUGAUCUUUAGUUAAGUAAAUCUAUUUCAAACUAAUGUCUUUUAAUGUAUUAACACUGCACUGUCCCUUAAUACACUGAACAUAAAGUGUUUUACUUUCCCUCUUCCCACAAUGAAAACACACAGUGUGGCUUUAACCUAAAAUACAAGCGUGCACAAUACAGACUCUCAUUACGGUCUACUAACUGGACCAUAGCAUGGCACCACAGCCGCACCUGCCAGCCCAGCCCCUCACUCAGCUCAACUCCACACAAGCACCUCCCCACAGAAAAAACUUAAUCCACUUAAUGCGGUUUCUUGAUAUAAACUUAUAUUUUUACAGCUGUAAUGUGUAUCUCUCAGUAGUUAGCCUAUCCUUUAAACUCAAAAGAGACAUAAUUCAGUCCUCUGGUUCAUGACCACGAUUGCCAUGGACUACGAGUCCGCCAUUACAGAUACACAAUCCAGCGAGUCGCCUUUACAAACCCAUGAGCUUGUGAAUUCACUCUUUAGCUCGACGUCUGUUACACUCCAAGGCACUUAAGAUAUAUUAUUACUGUUGUCCAUUACUUUUGUAGUAUUUCUGAACCAGCUAACCUGCAAACACAUAAAAACAGUCAUUAAUAGGAGUGUACUCUAUGCUGUGCCUGUACCAUUGACUGUAUAUAAAAUGGACGCCAUCUGCCUCCUCGUUGGGUGAAGCCACCCCAAGAACAGCGCCCUCUGGUGACAGGCUGCAGUAUAGGUCAUAAAUCCUGCCCCCACCAGCCAUCCUUAUGGGGUCUGUGGACAAACUUUAGAAAUUUAUUACACAAAAUAUAAAUUCUUCUCCCCCCUAACUGUGAUGUUGACAUGUAGCUACUGUAAGACUGGUUUGUGCUCAAGUCCUCUUUUUUCUGUGCAGCUCCAUUUUUAAAAGUUAUUAGGUGGUUCAUGUUUUCUAUGAUUGACACUUGAUACAGCCUAUGUGCAAUGUUGGUUUCAGGAAGUGGAGAAAAAAAUGCAGAAUCACAGAGAGCUUUUUGGCUUCAAAUCCGUAUACUGGCAGAAGGUGGAACCAAGUUGUCCAAAGUAUAUACAGUCUAUGGUCUGAACGCUUCAUCCUCAGACACUGACUGGACUUCUCCUGCUGUUGCAUCAGCUAUCCGCUAGGUGAGGUACCGAGUGCCCCCUGCUGGUGAAACAUAUAUUACACUAUCUUACAGGAAAAUAGACGCUACAGUAGUUUUAGUAUUGCACGUGAACUUUAUUCAUAUAAAUAAAAUGGGGGUUUGACUAUUUCCAUGCCUUCAAUAACGCAUAGUGCCACAUAAGCAGUAACUCUAAGUGAUCUUUUUAAUUGAUUGCAUCUUUAUCUUGUAGUGACUGAGAAUAUUUAUGGGAUGAUCGAUGUAUGUUACAUUUUUGAUAAUCCUUUCUUGUGACAACGAGCUCUAUGAGAGUUUGACUGGAGGUUGAACGCAACAUCCUGACUCUACUAUUUGUUGUUUGUGUGACACUCUAUUUACUCUCUGAUUCAAAGGAUUACAACACCCCCCCCAAAAAAAAAAAAAAAAAAAAACACUUCCGUUGAAGUUCAAGUGUAAUCCACUCAUACAGAUUAGUUUUUUUCUCCCAUACUUUGAGGUUUUUGAUUCAACUUUGUUCACCCCCAGACUUUUUGACAUCCUUCCUCAACUAAUGGAGAUAACGUGUCGAUACUGAUGUUAAAAUAAAAUCAAAAGAUAGGACAAACUUAACCAUUUCAAGAGGAUUAAGUUGAUGAAAAACAGCUUCUUUAAGGUGUGGUCUCUUAUUGGUGUUUGAAUCAACAUUUAUGUUAUCAUUUAAAAAGGAAGGGCUUUUUUGGUCUGUUUCACACUUCAGUUUCCGCCUUCUGCUCACGGACUGCAGAGAAAAGACGCCCUUCAAGACACAACGCUGUUCAUAUUUGUAAGUAGAAUAGUUUAAUGAAAUGUCUGAUACUUUUUCAUCUCCUGUUAGCUUUUCAUGUCACAUAUUUGACUUGUGUUAUUAUCCCUAAAGUCCCAGAGAAAGGAGAGAGGAGCAGAGAUGAGUUUAACUGCAGCAGUGAGUGGAUUCAUCCUUCUCCUCUCUGUAUCAGGUACUUCAUAUCUAAAGCUUUUCCUCUUCACUCUGAUACACCUGCAGCCUCUUUUUAAUUUGAUCAAAAACAGACUCUGCUUACAGAACCUGCAGUUUUUUCUCCAAAAUUCUGAUUGUAAUUUGCUGUAUUGAAAUCACUUUUUGAGUUUUUUAGUGGAUACUAGUUUUGCAGUCAGGCUAGUGUCUCAGGGACUCAUUUAUUACAACACAUCUGCAACAAGCCUGUCUGUUCCUCUUCAUAGGUGUUAUAUUUCCAUGCUGAUGCUGCAUUGACAGCACUUAUCUAAUCAUUGAGUAUUAGCUGCUGUACAGUUUCUCACCCCUUAGACUUCUGCAUUUAUUUUUAGAUACACACUUGACUGGGCAGCUAACUUUGCACAGAGAAAACUUUCACAGAACAGCACAAUCUGUCAAAUAAUUUACACUGUUAAUAAUGCUGUUGGGUUAGAGAAGUGUUGAUGAAUAUAAACAUCUGUAAUUUUUCAGUAUGGAUAAAUCUUCUCUCAGAUAUUUUGAUAAGUAGUUUAAAAUCUAAUAACAAACAGAGAAAAAAGCUAAACCUGACAAAAAUAUCUUACAUGUGAUUGUUAUAUCAAGAUGAUGUCGGACUGCACCUCAAUGAUCUGGUUCAGAUUUAUUUAUUUCAUGUUCAGUCUUAAACUUUUCCUGGUCUGGUUAAAUUGACUGUGUUCUCUGAUUUUUGUGUUUUAGUGGUUCAGCCUCAGAAUGGCUGGGAGGUGACUUACUCUAAAACUCAGAUCUGUGUCUCUAGAGGAUCAACUGUGGAAAUAAGCUGCAACUUUAAGUACCCAAAAACAAUGGAGAGGAAGCAGAACAAACUCUUAAAAACAUUUUGGUUUAUCAGGAGACGUGGUGAUGAGUUUCUAAACAUUGAAACAGACUCAGAGUAUUCAGGUCGUGUGAAGACCACGCAUGAUGGGACCAGAUCCACCCUAACAAUCACAAACCUGACAGGGAGUGACUCAGCUCAGUACAAGUUCAGGAUGGAGACAAGCCUGGACAAAUAUUCUGGCUACCCAGGUGUCACCCUGUCUGUGAGAGGUAGUUUUCUGUGAAAUGUCUCAUCCUUUACCUUUUUGAAAAUCGUGUAAAUGAUUAUAUUAUGUGUAUGUUUAUGUGGAAAGUACUGACAGUUUUAUCUGAUCAGAUGUCCAGAUAAGGGUGAGCAGACCAGGUGGGCAUUUGCAGUUGAAGUGUCUCAGCCGUUGUCGUCAAGAUUUUCGAUACAUUUGGUUCAUGAAUGGAGAAAAAAUUAAGAACCAAAAUUCAAAAUAUCAUCAACCAGACCAGAUUCUGAACACAGACAGAUUUUCCUGUGCUGUAGAAGGAUAUGAGGACUUCCCCUCUCCUUCAGUGUGUGAGUUUACCCCUCCCUUUCCUCUAACACAACACUAUCUGAUGGAGGUUUUAAAAUGUAGUGCUCGCCCUGACUCUCUGGUCUGUGGCUAACAUUUCCACUUUAAAAAACAUCUCAUAUCUGUGAUGCUCAGAGUAAAAACUCAAUAGUAAAGAGUUGUUAAAGGACAGAGAGCAUAAACCAAGUACAUCAGUGACUGAAAUGUUAACUGUAAAAUGUGUUUCUUCUUCAGAUGCUUUCGAGCCUCCCUCUGUGUCAGUAAGUUCCUCUGCUGAGAUAAUGGAGGGAAAAAAUGUGACUCUGACCUGCAGCAGUGGUGCUAAUGUAGAAUCCAGUUAUACCUGGUAUCAAAGAAAUGAACCUCUAUAUCCUCUGCGUCUCAGGAGAGGACCUCAGCUUGUCUUCAGCUCCAUCAAGUCCUCAGACUUUGGACAGUAUUACUGUGAAGUGAGGAACAUCUUUGGGACGCAGAUAUUGGGGAACAUCUUGGCUGGUUUGACAUGUGUGUGAAACAUCACAGUUCAAACACAUUAGAAAGACAAUAAACUACACAACAAUACCUCAAAACAGUUUUAUCCUGUAUUUGAACAAAAAGCACUAAGACAAAAUUUCUUCUUUUAUAUGUUUAUUUGCAAGUUUAAUUUACCAACUUUGAUUAAAUCCAUUUCCAGAUGAUCCAGAGCUUCCCUCUGUGUCAGUGAGUCCCUCUGCUGAGAUAGUGGAGGGUAAUCAUGUGACUCUGACCUGCAGCAGUGAUGCUAAGCCAGAUGCUACUUAAACCUGGUACAGAAGAAGUGGACGUCUAAGUCUGAGUCUCAGAAAAGGAAAUCAGCUUGUCUUCAGCUCCAUUCAGUCCUCAGACUCUGGACAGUAUUAUUGUGAAGUGAGGGGCAUCACCGGGUCCUCUAGGGACGUCUUAGUUUAUGUGAAAUGUGAGUAAAAAGUCACAUUUAAAGAGGAACAGAAGGAUGAAAACCAUACACAACCAUGUCCCAGAAAUGAUUUUUAUUCUGUGUUCGUUUCUUUGUCAUUUCUGUUUUUAUCCGUCUUCAGAUGCUCCAAAGUUCUCUUAUGUGUCUGUGAGUCCCUCUUCUGAGAUAGUGGAGGGCAGUUCAGUGACUCUGACCUGUAUCAGUUAUGCCAACCCAGCACCACGUUCCACCUGGUACAAGGAGAACAACACCACGUUUCAGUCAACAGGAGGAAUUUAUACUUUUUUCAACAUCAGCCAUCUGGACAGAGGGAGAUACAACUGCAGAUCUGAGAAUCAAUAUGGAUCACAUGUAUCUCCCCCUCUCUCACUAGAUAUCCAGUGUGAGUAGAAGACAUUACAAAGUUAGAUCACCUGGUACAAAACUCUUCUUAAUGGCUUAAGUCUCCAUGUAAAGUUCUCUUUCGAUCUCCUCCAGAUGCUCCAAAACGUCCCUCUGUGUCAGUGAGUCCCUCUGCUGAGAUAGUGGAGGGUAGUUCAGUAAAUCUGACCUGCAGCAGUGAUGCUAACCCUGCAGCUACUUAUACCUGGUACAAAGAGAGUGAAGACUCAGCAAACGCUUCAGGACAGACCUUCACCAUCACUGAGUUCAGAGCUAAUCACAGUGGGAAUUAUUACUGUGAAGCCCGGAACAAAAUAGGACGCCAGAAAUCCAGCCCACAUCAGAUCGUUGCGGCAGGUGAGAUAUUUACACACCUGCACACAGAGAGCUUACCCAGAAUACUCAAAGCAGCUCAUGAUAUGUUUGAUUAAUUAAUUUUUUCCUUCACAAACACGUUUUCUCUGAAUCAGAUCUUAAAACUGACUAAAGUGAAUAAUUCAUGGAGGGAACUCCAUGUCAGAUUCUGGCUCAACAGAGUCUCAGACAGAGCUAAAGAUAUAGACCAGUCUGAUUCUGUUAGUAAUGUGUCUCACAUAUCUCUCUUCUUUCAUUCAAGGGAAAUCAACAAUAACAACCAUAAUUAGCAUCAGGUUGACCCUGUUCUUUUUGAUGUUGAUUCCUCCACCUCUCGUGAGUCUGUUGACAAGGUAAAACCAUAAAACUCCAUCAAUUCAAACACGUUUCUUUUAUGAGCUUCUUCACUUGGUUCAUAGUUUAAUUUCUUUUCUCUCUAUCACUGUAAAACUGACUGUUCUCAAAUGUAAUAAUCCAGGAAGAAGAAACCUCUGAACUCCAACACUGAACCAAGUGAACCUGCAGAGAUGAUAGAGGUGAGACCGACUGCUGACAAAAUAUCUUUACAGACCUGUUCAAAGAUGUCAGGAUCAAAGUUUCAAAAUGGGACUAAAAUACUUUCAAAGAUGAUCAACUCUCUUCAUCUGUCCUCAGCUGGACUCUGCUCAUGAGAAUGAGAAAGUCUCAGCGGUCACUGCAGCACAGACUGAAGACAUAGAGGAGCAGGAAGACAGGGUGUAAAGUCCAGUCAGGGUGGGGUGUCUCCAGUGGUGCUGAUGGUCUACUGGUCCCAUAACUGGACUAGAGUCCCCUGUUGAGCGGUUGCUGGUUCAACUCCCGCCCAUGAUCCUUUGCUGCACAUGUUCUCUCACUUUCUACACUCCUCAUUUGCUGUCUUUCUUCUGCUUUCCUAUCUACAAAAGGAAAAAAUGCCCCAAAACACGACUGUCAUGAAAGUCAAAUAGAAAAACAAGAUACUUUAAAAAUCAAGUCAAAAAUAAGACGUUUCAAACUCUUACUUUUGUCAUGUUGGUUAAGUUUCCUUUAUUUUUGCACAUUCAUGUUUUGUUUCAUGUCAUGUAUUUCCUGUUUUAUUUUGUAGUUCACCAACUCUUGUUUCUGUCUUCUAGCUUUGUUCCUGUCUGGUCUGCCCUCGUUUUGUCACACCUGCUGCCUGAUUGUGUUUCCCCACCUGUUCCCCAUCACCCUCACUACCUCUUGUAUUUAAUCUCAUGCAUCUCACUUUCUCAUCACCAGUUCGUUGCACUCUAUAGUCACGUUCCAGCAUUAUGCAUAGUUUUAGUAAAGUCAUGUAUUACCUUUGCCUGCUUUAUUUUUGACCUUGCCUUUUUACAAUAAAUCCUUGUCUUUUGGACCAACUGAUCUGGUGUUGUGCAAUUGUGUUCUCUCCUCUGUGUCUUGGUUUAUAACAAUUUCUACAGAGAGUCUGACCUCCUCCACAGAGAUAACAGACCAACUUCAGAUUCAUUCUCACUGUCUUAAUCUUUUUUUUGUGAUUGUACGCAGAUGCAGUGUGUUUCACCCUCCAGUUAGUUAAAAAAAAGUCCUGUCAACAAGACUCUGGCAGAUCUGUUGGUCCAGCCACUCUAAUAUUUCACUGUCCAAAAUGAUGGGCCAACUCAUCUCCUGUGUGGCAUAUUUAUUCUUACAGGAACUGCAAAAACAUAAAAACAGUCAUUAAUAGGAGCGCACUCUGUUCUGUGUCUUUACGCUUCAUCCUCACACACUGACUGGACUUCUCUGUUUUAUGAUAAACACUCUACACUUGCACUGUAAAACAACUCUUAAAGCAACAAAAUACUACAGUGGUGUUGAAAUAAAAUUCAUGACAUUACUGUCUCAAUAUUUAUACUAUUUUAACCAUUACAUCUCCUUUAUGAACUGUAUAACUGAUCUUUAGUUAAGUAAAUCUAUUUCAAACUAAUGUCUUUUAAUGUAUUAACACUGCACUGUCCCUUAAUACACUGAACAUAAAGUGUUUUACUUUCCCUCUUCCCACAAUGAAAACACACGGUGUGGCUUUAACCUAAAAUACAAGCAUGGACAAUACAGACUCUCAUUGCAGCCUACUAACUGGGCCAUAGCAUGGCACCACAGCCGCACCUGCCAGCCCAGCCCCUCACUCAGCUCAACUCCACACAAGCACCUCCCCACAGAAAAAACUUAAUCCACUUAAUGCGGUUUCUUGAUAUAAACUUAUAUUUUUACAGCUGUAAUGUGUAUCUCUCAGUAGUUAGCCUAUCCUUUAAACUCAAAAGAGACAUAAUUCAGUCCUCUGGUUCAUGACCACGAUUGCCAUGGACUACGAGUCCGCCAUUACAGAUACACAAUCCAGCGAGUCGCCUUUACAAACCCAUGAGCUUGUGAAUUCACUCUUUAGCUCGACGUCUGUUACACUCCAAGGCACUUAAGAUAUAUCAUUACUGUUGUCCAUUACUUUUAUAGUAUUUCUGAACCAGCUAACCUGCAAACACAUAAAAACAGUCAUUAAUAGGAGUGUACUCUAUGCUGUGCCUGUACCAUUGACUGUAUAUAAAAUGGACGCCAUCUGCCUCCUCGCUGGGUGAAGCCACCCCAAGAACAGCGCCCUCUGGUGACAGGCUGCAGUAUAGGUCAUAAAUCCUGCCCCCACCAGCCAUCCUUAUGGGGUCUGUGGACAAACUUUAGAAAUUUAUUACACAAAAUAUAAAUUCUUCUCCCCCCUAACUGUGAUGUUGACAUGUAGCUACUGUAAGACUGGUUUGUGCUCAAGUCCUCUUUUUUCUGUGCAGCUCCAUUUUUAAAAGUUAUUAGGUGGUUCAUGUUUUCUAUGAUUGACACUUGAUACAGCCUAUGUGCAAUGUUGGUUUCAGGAAGUGGAGAAAAAAAUGCAGAAUCACAGAGAGCUUUUUGGCUUCAAAUCCGUAUACUGGCAGAAGGUGGAACCAAGUUGUCCAAAGUAUAUACAGUCUAUGGUCUGAACGCUUCAUCCUCAGACACUGACUGGACUUCUCCUGCUGUUGCAUCAGCUAUCCGCUAGGUGAGGUACUGAGUGCCCCCUGCUGGUGAAACAUAUAUUACACUAUCUUACAGGAAAAUAGACGCUACAGUAGUUUUAGUAUUGCACGUGAACUUUAUUCAUAUAAAUAAAAUGGGGGUUUGACUAUUUCCAUGCCUUCAAUAACGCAUAGUGCCACAUAAGCAGUAACUCUAAGUGAUCUUUUUAAUUGAUUGCAUCUUUAUCUUGUAGUGACUGAGAAUAUUUAUGGGAUGAUCGAUGUAUGUUACAUUUUUGAUAAUCCUUUCUUGUGACAACGAGCUCUAUGAGAGUUUGACUGGAGGUUGAACGCAACAUCCUGACUCUACUAUUUGUUGUUUGUGUGACACUCUAUUUACUCUCUGAUUCAAAGGAUUACAACACCCCCCCCAAAAAAAAAAAAAAAAAAAACACUUCCGUUGAAGUUCAAGUGUAAUCCACUCAUACAGAUUAGUUUUUUUCUCCCAUACUUUGAGGUUUUUGAUUCAACUUUGUUCACCCACAGACUUUUUGACAUCCUUCCUCAACUAAUGAAGAUAACGUGUCGAUACUGAUGUUGAAAUAAAAUCAAAAGAUAGUAAAAACUUAACCAUUUCAAGAGGAUUAAGUUGAUGAAAAACAGCUUCUUUAAGGUGUGGUCUCUUAUUGGUGUUUGAAUCAACAUUUAUGUUAUCAUUUAAAAAGGAAGGGCUUUUUUGGUCUGUUUCACACUUCAGUUUCCGCCUUCUGCUCACGGACUGCAGAGAAAAGACGCCCUUCAAAACACAACGCUGGUCAUAUUUGUAAGUAGAAUAGUUUAAUGAAAUGUCUGAUACUUUUUCAUCUCCUGUUAGCUUUUCAUGUCACAUAUUUGACUUGUGUUAUUAUCCCUAAAGUCCCAGAGAAAGGAGAGAGGAGCAGAGAUGAGUUUAACUGCAGCAGUGAGUGGAUUCAUCCUUCUCCUCUCUGUAUCAGGUACUUCAUAUCUAAAGCUUUUCCUCUUCACUCUGAGAAACCUGCAGCCUCUUUUUAAUUUGAUCAAAAACAGACUCUGCUUACAGAACCUGCAGUUUUGUCUCCAAAAUUCUGAUUGUAAUUUGCUGUAUUGAAAUCAGUUUUUGAGUUUUUUAGUGGAUACUAGUUUUGCAGUCAGGCUAGUGUCUCAGGGACUCAUUUAUUACAACACAUCUGCAACAACCCUGUCUGUUCCUCUUCAUAGGUGUUAUAUUUCCAUGCUGAUGCUGCAUUGACAGCACUUAUCUAAUCAUUGAGUAUUAGCUGCUGUACAGUUUCUCACCCCUUAGACUUCUGCAUUUAUUUUUAGAUACACACUUGACUGGGCAGCUAACUUUGCACAGAGAAAACUUUCACAGAACAGCACAAUCUGUCAAAUAAUUUACACUGUUAAUAAUGCUGUUGGGUUAGAGAAGUGUUCAUGAAUAUAAACAUCUGUAAUUUUUCAGUAUGGAUAAAUCUUCUCUCAGAUAUUUUGAUAAGUAGUUUAAAAUCUAAUAUCAAACAGAGAAAAAAGCUAAACCUGACAAAAAUAUCUUACAUGUGAUUGUUAUAUCAAGAUGAUGUCGGACUGCACCUCAAUGAUCUGGUUCAGAUUUAUUUAUUUCAUGUUCAGUCUUAAACUUUUCCUGGUCUGGUUAAAUUGACUGUGUUCUCUGAUUUUUGUGUUUUAGUGGUUCAGCCUCAGAACGGCUGGGAGGUGACUUACUCUAAAACUCAGAUCUGUGUCUCCAGAGGAUCAACUGUGGAAAUAAGCUGCCAACUUUAAGUACCCAAAAACAAUGGAGAGGAAGCAGAACAAACUCUUAAAAACAUUUUGGUUUAUCAGGAGACGUGGUGAUGAGCUUCUAAACAUUGAAACAGACUCAGAGUAUUCAGGUCGUGUGAAGACCACGCAUGAUGGGACCAGAUCCACCCUAACAAUCACAAACCUGACAGGGAGUGACUCAGCUGAAUACAUGUUCAGGAUGGAGACAAGCCUGGACAAAUAUUCUGGCUACCCAGGUGUCACCCUGUCUGUGAGAGGUAGUUUUCUGUGAAAUGUCUCAUCCUUUACCUUUUUGAAAAUCGUGUAAAUGAUUAUAUUAUGUGUAUGUUUAUGUGGAAAGUACUGACAGUUUUAUCUGAUCAGAUGUCCAGAUAAUGGUGAGCAGACCAGGUGGGCAUUUGCAGUUGAGGUGUCUCAGCCGUUGUCGUCAAGAUUUUCGAUACAUUUGGUUCAUGAAUGGAGAAAAAAUUAAGAACCAAAAUUCAAAAUAUCAUCAACCAGACCAGAUUCUGAACACAGACAGAUUUUCCUGUGCUGUAGAAGGAUAUGAGGACUUCCCCUCUCCUUCAGUGUGUGAGUUUACCCCUCCCUUUCCUCUAACACAACACUAUCUGAUGGAGGUUUUAAAAUUUGGUGCGUGCCCUGACUCUCUGGUCUGUGGCUAACAUUUCCACUUUAAAAAACAUCUCAUAUCUGUGAUGCUCAGAAUAAAAACUUCAUAGUAAAGAGUUGUUAAAGGACAGAGAGCAUAAACCAAGUACAUCAGUGACUGAAAUGUUAACUGUAAAAUGUGUUUCUUCUUCAGAUGCUUUCGAGCCUCCCUCUGUGUCAGUGAGUUCCUCUGCUGAGAUGAUGGAGGGAAAAAAUCUGACUCUGACCUGCAGCAGUGACGCUAAUGUAGAAUCCAGUUAUACCUGGUAUCAAAGAAAUGAACCUCUAUAUCCUCUGCGUCUCAGGAGAGGACCUCAGCUUGUCUUCAGCUCCAUCAAGUCCUCAGACUUUGGACAGUAUUACUGUGAAGUGAGGAACACCUUUGGGACACAGAUAUCGGGGAACAUCUUGGCUGGUUUGACAUGUGUGUGAAACAUCACAGUUCAAACACAUUAGAAAGACAAUAAACUACACAACAAUACCUCAAAACAGUUUUAUCCUGUAUUUGAACAAAAAGCACUAAGACAAAAUUUCUUCUUUUAUAUGUUUAUUUGCAAGUUUAAUUCACUAACUUUGAUUAAAUCCAUUUCCAGAUGAUCAAGAGCUUCCCUCUGUGUCAGUGAGUCCCUCUGCUGAGAUAGUGGAGGGUAAUCAUGUGACUCUGACCUGCAGCAGUGAUGCUAAGCCAGAUGCUAACCAUACCUGGUACAGAAGAAAUGGUGAUCUAAGUCCUCAGAGUCUCAGAAAAGGAAAUCAGCUUGUAUUCAGCUCCAUUCAGUCCUCAGACUCUGGACAGUAUUAUUGUGAAGUGAGGGGCAUCACUGAGUCCUCUAGGGAUGUCUUAGUCUAUGUGAAAUGUGAGUAAAGUCACAUUUAAUGGGCAACAGAAGGAUGAAAACCAUACACAACCAUAUCCCAGAAAUGAUUUUUAUUCUGUGUUUGUUUCUUUGUCAUUUCUGUUUUUAUCCGUCUUCAGAUGCUCCAAAGUUCUCUUAUGUGUCUGUGAGUCCCUCUUCUGAGAUAGUGGAGGGCAGUUCAGUGACUCUGACCUGUAUCAGUUACGCCAACCCAGCACCACGUUCCACCUGGUACAAGGAGAACAACACCACGUUUCAGUCAACAGGAGGAAUUUAUACUUUUCUCAACAUCAGCCAUCUGGACAGAGGGAGAUACAACUGCAGAUCUGAGAAUCAAUAUGGAUCACAUGUAUCUCCACCUCUCUCACUAGAUAUCCAGUGUGAGUAGAAGACAUUACAAAGUUAGAUCACCUGGUACAAAACUCUUCUUAAUGGCUGGAAGUCUCCAUGUAGGAAACUUGAAUGACUAAAGUUCUCUUUCGAUCUCCUCCAGAUGCUCCAAAACGUCCCUCUGUGUCAGUGAGUCCCUCUGCUGAGAUAGUGGAGGGUAGUUCAGUAAAUCUGACCUGCAGCAGUGAUGCUAACCCUGCAGCUACUUACACCUGGUACAAAGAGAAUGAAGACUCAGCAAAAGCUUCAGGACAGACCUUCACCAUCACUGAGUUCAGAGCUCAUCACAGUGGGAAUUAUUACUGUGAAGCCCGAAACAAAAUAGGACGCCAGAAAUCCAGCCCACAUCAGAUCGUUGCGGCAGGUGAGAUAUUUACACACCUGCACACAGAGAGCUUACCCAGAAUACUCAAAGCAGCUCAUGAUAUGUUUGAUUAAUUAAUUUUUUCCUUCACAAACAUGUUUUCUCUGAAUCAGAUCUUAAAACUGACUAAAGUGAAUAAUUCAUGGAGGGACCUCCAUGUCAGAUUCUGGCUCAACAGAGUCUCAGACAGAGCUAAAGAUAUAGACCAGUCUGAUUCUGUUAGUAAUGUGUCUCACAUAUCUCUCUUCUUUCAUUCAAGGGAAAUCAACAAUAACAACCAUAAUUAGCAUCAGGUUUACCCUGUUCUUUUUGAUGUUGAUUCCUCCACCUCUCGUGAGUCUGUUGACAAGGUAAAACCAUAAAACUCCAUCAAUUCAAACACGUUUCUUUUAUGAGCUUCUUCACUUGGUUCAUAGUUUAAUUUCUUUUCUCUCUAUCACUGUAAAACUGACUGUUCUCAAAUGUAAUAAUCCAGGAAGAAGAAACCUCUGAACUCCAACACUGAACCAAGUGAACCUGCAGAGAUGAUAGAGGUGAGACCGACUGCUGACAAAAUAUCUUUACAGACCUGUUCAAAGAUGUCAGGAUCAAAGUUUCAAAAUGGGACUAAAAUACUUUCAAAGAUGAUCAACUCUCUUCAUCUGUCCUCAGCUGGACUCUGCUCAUGAGAAUGAGAAAGUCUCAGCGGUCACUGCAGCACAGACUGAAGAUAUAGAGGAGCAGGAAGACAGGGUGUGAAGUCCAGUCAGGGUGGGGUGUCUCCAGUGAUGCUGAUGGUCUACUGAUCCCAUAACUGGACUAGAGUCCGCGGUUGAGCGGUUGCUGGUUCAACUCCCGCCCAUGAUCCUUUGCUGCACAUGUUCUCUCACUUUCUACACUCCUCAUUUGCUGUCUUUCUUCUGCUUUCCUAUCUACAAAAGGAAAAAAUGCCCCAAAACACGACUGUCAUGAAAGUCAAAUAGAAAAACAAGAUACUUUAAAAAUCAAGUCAAAAAUAAGACAUUUCAAACUCUUACUUUUGUCAUGUUGGUUAAGUUUCCUUUAUUUUUGCACAUUCAUGUUUUGUUUCAUGUCAUGUAUUUCCUGUUUUAUUUUGUAGUUCACCAACUCUUGUUUCUGUCUUCUAGCUUUGUUCCUGUCUGGUCUGCCCUCGUUUUGUCACACCUGCUGCCUGAUUGUGUUUCCCCACCUGUUCCCCAUCACCCUCACUACCUCUUGUAUUUAAUCUCAUGCAUCUCACUGUCUCGUCACCAGUUCGUUGCACUUUAUAGUCACGUUCCAGCAUUAUGCAUAGUUUUAGUCAAGUCAUGUAUUACCUUUGCCUGCUUUAUUUCUGACCUUGCCUUUUUACAAUAAAUCCUUGUCUUUUGGACCAACUGAUCUGGUGUUGUGCAAUUGUGUUCUCUCCUCUGUGUCUUGGUUUAUAACAGUUUCUACAGAGAGUCUGACCUCCUCCACCGAGAUAACAGACCAACUUCAGAUUCAUUCUCACUGUCUUAAUCUUUUUUUUGUGAUUGUACGCAGAUGCAGUGUGUUUCACCCUCCAGUUAGUUAAAAAAAAGUCCUGUCAACAAGACUUUGGCAGAUCUGUUGGUCCAGCCACUCUAAUAUUUCACUGUCCAAAAUGAUGGGCCAACUCAUCUCCUGUGUAGCAUAUUUAUUUUUACAGGAACUGCAAAAACAUAAAAACAGUCAUUAAUAGGAGCGCACUCUGUUCUGUGUCUUUACGCUUCAUCCUCACACACUGACUGGACUUCUCUGUUUUAUGAUAAACACUCUACACUUGCACUGUAAAACAACUCUUAAAGCAACACAAUACUACAGUGGUGUUGAAAUAAAAUCCAUGACAUUACUGUCUCAAUAUUUAUACUAUUUUAACCAUUACAUCUCCUUUAUGAACUGUAUAACUGAUCUUUAGUUAAGUAAAUCUAUUUCAAACUAAUGUCUUUUAAUGUAUUAACACUGCACUGUCCCUUAAUACACUGAACAUAAAGUGUUUUACUUUCCCUCUUCCCACAAUGAAAACACACAGUGUGGCUUUAACCUAAAAUACAAGCGUGCACAAUACAGACUCUCAUCACGGUCUACUAACUGGACCAUAGCAUGGCACCACAGCCGCACCUGCCAGCCCAGCCCCUCACUCAGCUCAACUCCACACAAGCACCUCCCCACAGAAAAAACUUAAUCCAUUUAAUACGGUUUCUUGAUAUAAACUUAUAUUUUUACAGCUGUAAUGUGUAUCUCUCAGUAGUUAGCCUAUCCUUUAAACUCAAAAGAGACAUAAUUCAGUCCUCUGCUUCAUUACCACGAUUGCCAUGGACUACGAGUCCGCCAUUACAGAUACACAAUCCAGCGAGUCGCCUUUACAAACCCAUGAGCUUGUGAAUUCACUCUUUAGCUCGACGUCUGUUACACUCCAAGGCACUUAAGAUAUAUCAUUACUGUUGUCCAUUACUUUUAUAGUAUUUCUGAACCAGCUAACCUGCAAACACAUAAAAACAGUCAUUAAUAGGAGCGUACUCUAUGCUGUGCCUGUACCAUUGACUGUAUAUAAAAUGGACGCCGUCUGCCUCCUCGCUGGGUGAAGCCACCCCAAGAACAGCGCCCUCUGGUGACAGGCUGCAGUAUAGGUCAUAAAUCCUGCCCCCACCAGCCAUCCUUAUGGGGUCUGUGGACAAACUUUGGAAAUUUAUUACACAAAAUAUAAAUUCUUCUCCCCCCUAACUGUGAUGUUGACAUGUAGCUACUGUAAGACUGGUUUGUGCUCAAGUCCUCUUUUUUCUGUGCAGCUCCAUUUUUAAAAGUUAUUAGGUGGUUCAUGUUUUCUAUGAUUGACACUUGAUACAGCCUAUGUGCAAUGUUGGUUUCAGGAAGUGGAGAAAAAAAUGCAGAAUCACAGAGAGCUUUUUGGCUUCAAAUCCGUAUACUGGCAGAAGGUGGAACCAAGUUGUCCAAAGUAUAUACAGUCUAUGGUCUGAACGCUUCAUCCUCAGACACUGACUGGACUUCUCCUGCUGUUGCAUCAGCUAUCCGCUAGGUGAGGUACCGAGUGCCCCCUGCUGGUGAAACAUAUAUUACUAUAUCUUACAGGAAAAUAGACGCUACAGUAGUUUUAGUAUUGCACGUGAACUUUAUUCAUAUAAAUAAAAUGGGGGUUUGACUAUUUCCAUGCCUUCAAUAACGCAUAGUGCCACAUAAGCAGUAACUCUAAGUGAUCUUUUUAAUUGAUUGCAUCUUUAUCUUGUAGUGACUGAGAAUAUUUAUGGGAUGAUCGAUGUAUGUUACAUUUUUGAUAAUCCUUUCUUGUGACAACGAGCUCUAUGAGAGUUUGACUGGAGGUUGAACGCAACAUCCUGACUCUACUAUUUGUUGUUUGUGUGACACUCUAUUUACUCUCUGAUUCAAAGGAUUACAACACCCCCCCCAAAAAAAAAAAAAAAAAACACUUCCGUUGAAGUUCAAGUGUAAUCCACUCAUACAGAUUAGUUUUUUUCUCCCAUACUUUGAGGUUUUUGAUUCAACUUUGUUCACCCACAGACUUUUUGACAUCCUUCCUCAACUAAUGGAGAUAACGUGUCGAUACUGAUGUUAAAAUAAAAUCAAAAGAUAGGACAAACUUAACCAUUUCAAGAGGAUUAAGUUGAUGAAAAACAGCUUCUUUAAGGUGUGGUCUCUUAUUGGUGUUUGAAUCAACAUUUAUGUUAUCAUUUAAAAAGGAAGGGCUUUUUUGGUCUGUUUCACACUUCAGUUUCCGCCUUCUGCUCACGGACUGCAGAGAAAAGACGCCCUUCAAAACACAACGCUGGUCAUAUUUGUAAGUAGAAUAGUUUAAUGAAAUGUCUGAUACUUUUUCAUCUCCUGUGUGCUUUUCAUGUCACAUUUUUGACUUGUGUUAUCAUCCCUAAAGUCCCAGAGAAAGGAGAGAGGAGCAGAGAUGAGUUUAACUGCAGCAGUGAGUGGAUUCAUCCUUCUCCUCUCUGUAUCAGGUACUUCAUAUCUACAGCUUUUCCUUUUUAAUUUGAUCAAAAACAGACUCUGCUUACAGAACCUGCAGUUUUUUCUCCAAAAUUCUGAUUGUAAUUUGCUGUAUUGAAAUCACUUUUUGAGUUUUUUAGUGGAUACUAGUUUUGCAGUCAGGCUAGUGUCUCAGGGACUCAUUUAUUACAACACAUCUGCAACAACCCUGUCUGUUCCUCUUCAUAGGUGUUAUAUUUCCAUGCUGAUGCUGCAUUGACAGCACUUAUCUAAUCAUUGAGUAUUAGCUGCUGUACAGUUUCUCACCCCUUAGACUUCUGCAUUUAUUUUUAGAUACACACUUGACUGGGCAGCUAACUUUGCACAGAGAAAACUUUCACAGAACAGCACAAUCUGUCAAAUAAUUUACACUGUUAAUAAUGCUGUUGGGUUAGAGAAGUGUUCAUGAAUAUAAACAUCUGUAAUUUUUCAGUAUGGAUAAAUCUUCUCUCAGAUAUUUUGAUAAGUAGUUUAAAAUCUAAUAUCAAACAGAGAAAAAAGCUAAACCUGACAAAAAUAUCUUACAUGUGAUUGUUAUAUCAAGAUGAUGUCGGACUGCACCUCAAUGAUCUGGUUCAGAUUUAUUUAUUUCAUGUUCAGUCUUGAACUUUUCCUGGUCUGGUUAAAUUGACUGUGUUCUCUGAUUUUUGUGUUUUAGUGGUUCAGUCUCAGAACGACUGGGAGGUGACUUACUCUACAACUCAGAUCUGUGUCUCUAGAGGAUCAACUGUAGAAAUAAGCUGCAACUUUAAGUACCCAAAAACAAUAAACAUGGAGCAGAACAAACUCUUAAAAACAUUUUGGUUUAUUAGGAAACGUAGUGAUGAGUUUCUAAACAUUGAAACAGACUCAGAGUAUUCAGGUCGUGUGAAGACCACCUGUGAUGGGACCAGAUCCACCCUAACAAUCACAAACCUGACAGGGAGUGACUCAGCUCAGUACAAGUUCAGGAUGGAGACAAGCCUGGACAAAUAUUUUGGCUACCCAGGUGUCACCCUGUCGGUCAGAGGUAAAGUUUUCUGUGAAAUUUUUCAUCUUUUUUUCUUUUUUAAAAUCCUGUAAAUUAUUGUAUCAUGUGUAUGUUUAUGUGGAAAGUACUGACAGUUUUAUCUGAUCAGAUGUCCAGAUAAUGGUGAGCAGACCAGGUGGGCAUUUGCAGUUGAAGUGUCUCAGCCGUUGUCGUCAAGAUUUUCGAUACAUUUGGUUCAAGAAUGGAGAGAAAAUUAAGAACCAAAAUUCACAAUAUCAUCAACCAGACCAGAUUCUGAACACAGACAGAUUUUCCUGUGCUGUAGAAGGAUAUGAGGACUUCCCCUCUCCUUCAGUGUGUGAGUUUACCCCUCCCUUUCCUCUAACACAACACUAUCUGAUGGAGGUUUUAAAAUUUAGUGCGUGCCCUGACUCUCUGGUCUGUGGCUAACAUUUCCACUUUAAAAAAACAUCUCAUAUCUGUGAUGCUCAGAGUAAAAACUCAAUAGUAAAGAGUUGUUAAAGGACAGAGAGCAUAAACCAAGUACAUCAGUGACUGAAAUGUUAACUGUAAAAUGUGUUUCUUCUUCAGAUGCUUUCGAGCCUCCCUCUGUGUCAGUGAGUUCCUCUGCUGAGAUAAUGGAGGGAAAAAAUGUGACUCUGACCUGCAGCAGUGAUGCUAAUGUAGAAUCCAGUUAUACCUGGUAUCAAAGAAAUGAACCUCUAUAUCCUCUGCGUCUCAGGAGAGGACCUCAGCUUGUCUUCAGCUCCAUCAAGUCCUCAGACUUUGGACAGUAUUACUGUGAAGUGAGGAACACCUUUGGGACACAGAUAUCGGGGAACAUCUUGGCUGGUUUGACAUGUGUGUGAAACAUCACAGUUCAAACACAUUAGAAAGACAAUAAACUACACAACAAUACCUCAAAACAGUUUUAUCCUGUAUUUGAACAAAAAGCACUAAGACAAAAUUUCUUCUUUUAUAUGUUUAUUUGCAUGUUUUAAUUUACUAACUUUGAUUAAAUCCAUUUCCAGAUGAUCCAGAGCUUCCCUCUGUGUCAGUGAGUCCCUCUGCUGAGAUAGUGGAGGGUAAUCAUGUGACUCUGACCUGCAGCAGUGAUGUUAAGCCAGAUGCUAACCAUACCUGGUACAGAAGAAAUGGUGAUCUAAGUCCUCAGAGUCUCAGAAAAGGAAAUCAGCUUGUCUUCAGCUCCAUCCAGGUGUCAGACUCUGGACAGUAUUAUUGUGAAGUGAGGGGCAUCACUGAGUCCUCUAGGGAUGUCUUAGUCUAUGUGAAAUGUGAGUAAAGUCACAUUUAAAGGGCAACAUAAGGAUGAAAACCAUACACAACCAUAUCCCAGAACAUUUUUUUAUUCUGUUUCUUUGUCAUUUCUGUUUUUAUCCGUCUUCAGAUGCUCCAAAGUUCUCUUAUGUGUCUGUGAGUCCCUCUUCUGAGAUAGUGGAGGGCAGUUCAGUGACUCUGACCUGUAUCAGUUACGCCAACCCAGCACCACGUUCCACCUGGUACAAGGAGAACAACACCACGUUUCAGUCAACAGGAGGAAUUUAUACUUUUCUCAACAUCAGCCAUCUGGACAGAGGGAGAUACAACUGCAGAUCUGAGAAUCAAUAUGGAUCACAUGUAUCUCCCCCUCUCUCACUGGAUAUCCAGUGUGAGUAGAAGACAUUACAAAGUUAGAUCACCUGGUACAAAACUCUUCUUAACGGCUUAAGUCUCCAUGUAAAGUUUUCUUUCGAUCUCCUCCAGAUGCUCCAAAACGUCCCUCUGUGUCAGUGAGUCCCUCUGCUGAGAUAGUGGAGGGUAGUUCAGUAAAUCUGACCUGCAGCAGUGAUGCUAACCCUGCAGCUACUUAUACCUGGUACAAAGAGAGUGAAGACUCAGCAAACGCUUCAGGACAGACCCUCACCAUCACUGAGUUCAGAGCUCAUCACAGUGGGAAUUAUUACUGUGAAGCCCGAAACAAAAUAGGACGCCAGAAAUCCAGCCCACAUCAGAUCGUUGCGGCAGGUGAGAUAUUUACACACCUGCACACAGAGAGCUUACCCAAAAUACUCAAAGCAGCUCAUGAUAUGUUUAAUUAAUUAAUUUUUUCCUUCACAAACAUGUUUUCUCUGAAUCAGAUCUUAAAACUGACUAAAGUGAAUAAUUCAUGGAGGGACCUCCAUGUCAGAUUCUGGCUCAACAGAGUCUCAGACAGAGCUAAAGAUAUAGACCAGUCUGAUUCUGUUAGUAAUGUGUCUCACAUAUCUCUCUUCUUUCAUUCAAGGGAAAUCAACAAUAACAACCAUAAUUAGCAUCAGGUUGACCCUGUUCUUUUUGAUGUUGAUUCCACCACUUCUUGUGAUUCUGUUGACAAGGUAAAACCAUAAAACUCCAUCAAUUCAAACACGUUUCUUUUAUGAUCCUCUUCACUUGGUUCAUAGUUUAAUUUCUUUUCUCUCUAUUAUUGUAAAACUAACUUUUCUCAAAUGUAAUAAUCCAGGAAGAAGAAACCUCUGAGCUCCAACACUGAACCAAGUGAACCUGCAGAGAUGAUAGAGGUGAGACCGACUGCUAACAAAACAUCUUUACAGAACUGUUCAAAGAUGUCAGGAUCAAAGUUUCAAAAUGGGACUAAAAUACUUUCAAAGAUGAUCAACUCUCUUCAUCUGUCCUCAGCUGGACUCUGCUCAUGAGAAUGAGAAAGUCUCAGCGGUCACUGCAGCACAGACUGAAGACAUAGAGGAGCAGGAAGACAGGGUGUGAAGUCCAGUCAGGGUGGGGUGUCUCCAGUGGUGCUGAUGGUCCACUGAUCCCAUAACUGGACUAGUGUCCCCUGUUGAGCGGUUGCUGGUUCAACUCCCGCCCAUGAUCCUUUGCUGCACAUGUUCUCUCACUUUCUACACUCCUCAUUUGCUGUCUUUCUUCUGCUUUCCUAUCUACAAAAGGAAAAAAUGCCCCAAAACACGACUGUCAUGAAAGUCAAAUAGAAAAACAAGAUACUUUAAAAAUCAAGUCAAAAAUAAGACGUUUCAAACUCUUACUUUUGUCAUGUUGGUUAAGUUUCUUUUAUUUUUGCACAUUCAUGUUUUGUUUCAUGUCAUGUAUUUCCUGUUUUAUUUUGUAGUUCACCAACUCUUGUUUCUGUCUUCUAGCUUUGUUCCUGUCUGGUCUGCCCUCGUUUUGUCACACCUGCUGCCUGAUUGUGUUUCCCCACCUGUUCCCCAUCACCCUCACUACCUCUUGUAUUUAAUCUCAUGCAUCUCACUGUCUCGUCACCAGUUCGUUGCACUUUAUAGUCACGUUCCAGCAUUAUGCAUAGUUUUAGUCAAGUCAUGUAUUACCUUUGCCUGCUUUAUUUCUGACCUUGCCUUUUUACAAUAAAUCCUUGUCUUUUGGACCAACUGAUCUGGUGUUGUGCAGUUGUGUUCUCUCCUCUGUGUCUUGGUUUAUAACAAUUUCUACAGAGAGUCUGACCUCCUCCACCGAGAUAACAGACCAACUUCAGAUUCAUUCUCACUGUCUUAAUCUUUUUUUUUUGUGAUUGUACGCAGAUGCAGUGUGUUUCACCUUCCAGGUAGUUAAAAAAAAGUCCUGUCAACAAGACUCUGGCAGAUCUGUUGGUCCAGCCACUCUAAUAUUUCACUGUCCAAAAUGAUGGGCCAUCUCAUCUCCUGUGUGGCAUAUUUAUUCUUACAGGAACUGCAAAAACAUAAAAACAGUCAUUAAUAGGAGCGCACUCUGUUCUGUGUCUUUACGCUUCAUCCUCACACACUGACUGGACUUCUCUGUUUUAUGAUAAACACUCUACACUUGCACUGUAAAACAACUCUUAAAGCAACACAAUACUACAGUGGUGUUGAAAUAAAAUCCAUGACAUUACUGUCUCAAUAUUUAUACUAUUUUAACCAUUACAUCUCCUUUAUGAACUGUAUAACUGAUCUUUAGUUAAGUAAAUCUAUUUCAAACUAAUGUCUUUUAAUGUAUUAACACUGCACUGUCCCUUAAUACACUGAACAUAAAGUGUUUUACUUUCCCUCUUCCCACAAUGAAAACACACAGUGUGGCUUUAACCUAAAAUACAAGCGUGCACAAUACAGACUCUCAUCACGGUCUACUAACUGGACCAUAGCAUGGCACCACAGCUGCACCUGCCAGCCCAGCCCUGCCCCUCACUCAGCUCAACUCCACACAAGCACCUCCCCACAGAAAAAACUUAAUCCACUUAAUGCGGUUUCUUGAUAUAAACUUAUAUUUUUACAGCUGUAAUGUGUAUCUCUCAGUAGUUAGCCUAUCCUUUAAACUCAAAAGAGACAUAAUUCAGUCCUCUGGUUCAUUACCACGAUUGCCAUGGACUACGAGUCCGCCAUUACAGAUACACAAUCCAGCGAGUCGCCUUUACAAACCCAUGAGCUUGUGAAUUCACUCUUUAGCUCGACGUCUGUUACACUCCAAGGCACUUAAGAUAUAUUAUUACUGUUGUCCAUUACUUUUAUAGUAUUUCUGAACCAGCUAACCUGCAAACACAUAAAAACAGUCAUUAAUAGGAGUGUACUCUAUGCUGUGCCUGUACCAUUGACUGUAUAUAAAAUGGACGCCAUCUGCCUCCUCGCUGGGUGAAGCCACCCCAAGAACAGCGCCCUCUGGUGACAGGCUGCAGUAUAGGUCAUAAAUCCUGCCCCCACCAGCCAUCCUUAUGGGGUCUGUGGACAAACUUUAGAAAUUUAUUACACAAAAUAUAAAUUCUUCUCCCCCCUAACUGCGAUGUUGACAUGUAGCUACUGUAAGACUGGUUUGUGCUCAAGUCCUCUUUUUUCUGUGCAGCUCCAUUUUUAAAAGUUAUUAGGUGGUUCAUGUUUUCUAUGAUUGACACUUGAUACAGCCUAUGUGCAAUGUUGGUUUCAGGAAGUGGAGAAAAAAAUGCAGAAUCACAGAGAGCUUUUUGGCUUCAAAUCCGUAUACUGGCAGAAGGUGGAACCAAGUUGUCCAAAGUAUAUACAGUCUAUGGUCUGAACGCUUCAUCCUCAGACACUGACUGGACUUCUCCUGCUGUUGCAUCAGCUAUCCGCUAGGUGAGGUACCGAGUGCCCCCUGCUGGUGAAACAUAUAUUACACUAUCUUACAGGAAAAUAGACACUACAGUAGUUUUAGUAUUGCACGUGAACUUUAUUCAUAUAAAUAAAAUGGGGGUUUGACUAUUUCCAUGCCUUCAAUAACGCAUAGUGCCACAUAAGCAGUAACUCUAAGUGAUCUUUUUAAUUGAUUGCAUCUUUAUCUUGUAGUGACUGAGAAUAUUUAUGGGAUGAUCGAUGUAUGUUACAUUUUUGAUAAUCCUUUCUUGUGACAACGAGCUCUAUGAGAGUUUGACUGGAGGUUGAACGCAACAUCCUGACUCUACUAUUUGUUGUUUGUGUGACACUCUAUUUACUCUCUGAUUCAAAGGAUUACAACACCCCCCCCCCAAAAAAAAAAAAAAAAAAAAAAAACACUUCCGUUGAAGUUCAAGUGUAAUCCACUCAUACAGAUUAGUUUUUUUCUCCCAUUCUUUGAGGUUUUUGAUUCAACUUUGUUCACCCACAGACUUUUUGACAUCCUUCCUCAACUAAUGGAGAUAACGUGUCGAUACUGAUGUUAAAAUAAAAUCAAAAGAUAGGACAAACUUAACCAUUUCAAGAGGAUUAAGUUGAUGAAAAACAGCUUCUUUAAGGUGUGGUCUCUUAUUGGUGUUUGAAUCAACAUUUAUGUUAUCAUUUAAAAAGGAAGGGCUUUUUUGGUCUGUUUCACACUUCAGUUUCCGCCUUCUGCUCACGGACUGCAGAGACAAGACGCCCUUCAAAACACAACGCUGGUCAUAUUUGUAAGUAGAAUAGUUUAAUGAAAUGUCUGAUACUUUUUCAUCUCCUGUUAGCUUUUCAUGUCACAUAUUUGACUUGUGUUAUUAUCCCUAAAGUCCCAGAGAAAGGAGAGAGGAGCAGAGAUGAGUUUAACUGCAGCAGUGAGUGGAUUCAUCCUUCUCCUCUCUGUAUCAGGUACUUCAUAUCUAAAGCUUUUCCUCUUCACUCUGAGAAACCUGCAGCCUCUUUUUAAUUUGAUCAAAAACAGACUCUGCUUACAGAACCUGCAGUUUUUUCUCCAAAAUUCUGAUUGUAAUUUGCUGUAUUGAAAUCACUUUUUGAGUUUUUUAGUGGAUACUAGUUUUGCAGUCAGGCUAGUGUCUCAGGGACUCAUUUAUUACAACACAUCUGCAACAACCCUGUGUGUUCCUCUUCAUAGGUGUUAUAUUUCCAUGCUGAUGCUGCAUUGACAGCACUUAUCUAAUCAUUGAGUAUUAGCUGCUGUACAGUUUCUCACCCCUUAGACUUCUGCAUUUAUUUUUAGAUACACACUUGACUGGGCAGCUAACUUUGCACAGAGAAAACUUUCACAGAACAGCACAAUCUGUCAAAUAAUUUACACUGUUAAUAAUGCUGUUGGGUUAGAGAAGUGUUCAUGAAUAUAAACAUCUGUAAUUUUUCAGUAUGGAUAAAUCUUCUCUCAGAUAUUUUGAUAAGUAGUUUAAAAUCUAAUAUCAAACAGAGAAAAAAGCUAAACCUGACAAAAAUAUCUUACAUGUGAUUGUUAUAUCAAGAUGAUGUCGGACUGCACCUCAAUGAUCUGGUUCAGAUUUAUUUAUUUCAUGUUCAGUCUUAAACUUUUCCUGGUCUGGUUAAAUUGACUGUGUUCUCUGAUUUUUGUGUUUUAGUGGUUCAGCCUCAGAACGGCUGGGAGGUGACUUACUCUACAGCUCAGAUCUGUGUCUCUAGAGGAUCAACUGUGGAAAUAAGCUGCAACUUUAAGUACCCAAAAACAAUGGAGAGGAAGCAGAACAAACUCUUAAAAACAUUUUGGUUUAUUAGGAAACGUGGUGAUGAGUUUCUAAACAUUGAAACAGACUCAGAGUAUUCAGGUCGUGUGAAGACCACGUAUGAUGGGACCAGAUCCACCUUGACAAUCACAAACCUGACAGGGAGUGACUCAGCUGAAUACAUGUUCAGGAUGGAGACAAGCUUUGACAAAUAUUUUGGCAGCGGAGGUGUGACCUUGUCUGUCAGAGGUAAAGUUUUCUCUGAAAUUUUUCAUCUUUUAUCUUUUUUAAAAUCCUGUAAAUGAUUGUAUUAUGUGUAUGUUUAUGUGGAAAGUACUGACAGUUUUAUCUGAUCAGAUGUCCAGAUAAUGGUGAGCAGACCAGGUGGGCAUUUGCAGUUGAAGUGUCUCAGCCGUUGUCGUCAAGAUUUUCGAUACAUUUGGUUCAAGAAUGGAGAGAAAAUUAAGAACCAAAAUUCACAAUAUCAUCAACCAGACCAGACUCUGAACACAGACAGAUUUUCCUGUGCUGUAGAAGGAUAUGAGGACUUCCCCUCUCCUUCAGUGUGUGAGUUUACCCCUCCCUUUCCUCUAACACAACACUAUCUAUAGAGGUUUUAAAAUUUAGUGCUCGCCCUGACUCUCUGGUCUGUGGCUAACAUUUCCACUUUAAAAAACAUCUCAUAUCUGUGAUGCUCAGAGUAAAAACUUGAUAAUAAAGAUUUGUUAAAGGACAGAGAGCAUAAACCAAGUACAUCAGUGACUGAAAUGUUAACUGUAAAAUGUGUUUCUUCUUCAGAUGCUUUCGAGCCUCCCUCUGUGUCAGUGAGUUCCUCUGCUGAGAUAAUGGAGGGAAAAAAUGUGACUCUGACCUGCAGCAGUGACGCUAAUGUAGAAUCCAGUUAUACCUGGUAUAAAAGAAAUGAACCUCGAUAUCCUCUGCGUCUCAGGAGAGGACCUCAGCUUGUCUUCAGCUCCAUCAAGUCCUCAGACUUUGGACAGUAUUACUGUGAAGUGAGGAACAUCUUUGGGACACAGAUAUCGGGGAACAUCUUGGCUGGUUUGACAUGUGUGUGAAACAUCACAGUUCAAACACAUUAGAAAGACAAUAAACUACACAACAAUACCUCAAAACAGUUUUAUCCUGUAUUUGAACAAAAAGCACUAAGACAAAAUGUCUUCUUUUAUAUGUUUAUUUGCAUGUUUAAUUUACUAACUUUGAUUAAAUCCAUUUCCAGAUGAUCCAGAGCUUCCCUCUGUGUCAGUGAGUCCCUCUGCUGAGAUAGUGGAGGGUAAUCAUGUGACUCUGACCUGCAGCAGUGAUGCUAAGCCAGAUGCUACUUAUACCUGGUACAGAAGAAGUGGACGUCUAAGUCUGAGUCUCAGAAAAGGAAAUCAGCUUGUAUUCAGCUCCAUCCAGGUGUCAGACUCUGGACAGUAUUAUUGUAAAGUGAGGGGCAUCACUGAGUCCUCUAGGGAUGUCUUAGUCUAUGUGAAAUGUGAGUUAAAAGUCACAUUUAAAGGGCAACAGAAGGAUGAAAACCAUACACAACCAUGUCCCAGAAAUGAUUUUUAUUCUGUGUUUGUUUCUUUGUCAUUUCUGUUUUUAUCCGUCUUCAGAUGCUCCAAAGUUCUCUUAUGUGUCUGUGAGUCCCUCUUCUGAGAUAGUGGAGGGCAGUUCAGUGACUCUGACCUGUAUCAGUUAUGCCAACCCAGCACCACGUUCCACCUGGUACAAGGAGAACAACACCACGUUUCAGUCAACAGGAGGAAUUUAUACUUUUCUCAACAUCAGCCAUCUGGACAGAGGGAGAUACAACUGCAGAUCUGAGAAUCAAUAUGGAUUUAAUGUAUCUUCUCCUCUCUCACUAGAUAUCCAGUGUGAGUAGAAGACAUUACAAAGUUAGAUCACCUGGUACAAAACUCUUCUUAACGGCUGAAAGUCUCCAUGUAGGAAACUUGAAUGACUAAAGUUCUCUUUCGAUCUCCUCCAGAUGCUCCAAAACGUCCCUCUGUGUCAGUGAGUCCCUCUGCUGAGAUAGUGGAGGGUAGUUCAGUAAAUCUGACCUGCAGCAGUGAUGCUAACCCUGCAGCUACUUACACCUGGUACAAAGAGAAUGAAGACUCAGCAAAAGCUUCAGGACAGACCUUCACCAUCACUGAGUUCAGAGCUCAUCACAGUGGGAAUUAUUACUGUGAAGCCCGGAACAAAAUAGGACACCAGAAAUCCAGCCCACAUCAGAUCGUUGCAGCAGGUGAGAUACUGUAUUUACACACCUGCACACAGAGAGCUCACCCAGAAUACACAAUUCAUCAUUUAUCAGAACCUGCUGAACAUGAGGUCAGAGAAAUUGUAGUUUCUCUACCAAGUUUUUUUGACUGCAGCUGGUUUCAUAGUUAAAGGAAAAGAUUUUUACAAAUAACCUCAAAAGUCUUCUAGAGGAAAGUUUAAUCCACUGGGUAGGAGACAAAAAAUAAAGUAAAUCCUCACAAUAUUAAAGUAGCUGCCUACUAAAAAAAAAUAAAUAUAUGCAUAAAUAAAAUUUAAAACAGAGCUGAAAUUGCAAAGACUGAGCAGCUUUUACCUUCAGAGAAAUCCUGUUUUUAUUAUGGGCUCUCAUAAAGAACUCAGUCGGGCAAAAUCAGGAUUACAGGGGAGACGUAGGUAGUGCUGUGUGCAUGUGUAUGCUGUUGGUGGCAAAGAUUAUAGACCAUGAAAAUUAAUGUCAGUAACAUAUAUCUGAUCACCAUUUCUCAGGAGGAGGGUUAGUACCAGUUGUUGCUGGAACAGUUGCUGUUGUCCUGGUGGUUCUCGUGUUCCUCUCUGUCUUCUUGUGGAUCAGGUGAGCAGCUCUGUUUCACUGAGUUAUCAUAACUCAGUUUAUCAGAUGCAGGAAAUCUUUAACAUUUUAAUUUAUUCAUUAUUUUACUAGAAAAAAGAGAGCUACCAACAAAUCACCUGCAAAUGAAGCAAGACCAGACGACAGAGGGGAGGUGAGAACAGUUACUCAUUUUAUUCAAGAUAAAAGAAAACCGCUCCUGAGGUGGAAUACAGACACACCGCUACUGGUUAUAGAAACUUUUGGUCUAAUUAGGGACAACAGGAGGAGCUGGUUGACCUUCAGUAUGCCAGCAUCAGCUUCUCCAAGAAUCCUACAGAUCUGUACAGUAACAUCAGACCAACUCAACACAGCAGACAAAAGGAGCAACAGGAUGUCACUGAGUACGCUGCUGUCAAUGUUAGUCGUGCCGGCGCCAGCAAAAGGUGAGAAACUCUUUAACGAGGACUAGCCUUCUCACUAUAAGAUGAAACCUGUCUUGUUUUGAAAAGUUUCAUCUUUUUUUCCCUAAAGUGUUUUUAUUUUGAAAAAACAAAAUUGAUGAUUUAGUUUCUCAGUCUUCUGAGUCUUAGUUGUUUCUUGGUUUCCCUCCUCAGAACCAGAAGUCCAGAGACCGGAGAGGAUCCUACUGCAGUGUACAGCACAGUCAACAAAUCUAGAAGAUCACAUGAUGCAUUUAUCACCUGAGUUUUCUGUCUUUCUGUCUGUUUUCUGUCAUGAGUUUGUAUUUGCAGAGGUUAUCAUAACGUUUGUAACAUAGAUUUCUGAUGAUCAGCUUUGCCUCUAAAUAUAUACAGAAGAAAGAGACAGUUACAGACAUUUUAUUUCCUUCACAUUAACUAACAGUAAACAGCUAACUUUUGAUCUGCUAUCUAACCAAAACUUGAGUGCCUUUAACUCUCACAAAAACUCACCAAACAUGGCAUAUGAAUCAGACAUGUUGAAAAAAAUGUGGACGUGGUUGAAUUGCCCACUUGUGCCACCUGGAGGUAUUCAAAGGUACAGCCUCUCGGGGCUUGAAUGAAUGAAAGAGUUGAGAGGUUUAGCCAAAAAUGGUAAAAUGAUGUCCCAGUGGGGCUUUUUAUUUGACUAAACCAUCAGUGAGCAAUAAAUCAGUACGAUGCAGUUUUUCUGAUGUUUAACUGACCUCUAGUGGGGAAGUUUAAGAAUCACAUUCAGACUUCAUUUAAGUGCCCUUUCAUUUGUUUUAUUUAUUCAUAAACUCUGAGGUUUUAUUUAAUCAGCAUUUUUUAAACUUUUUGCUUUGAUACAUACCUGCUAUUUAAUCUUUAUUAAAAGAAGCAGGUGAAAACACCUUUCUGUUGUGCAUUGUUCUGCAAAGUAAACAUAUUAGAAAAAAGCUGUGAAUUCAGA